rnacentral:lncRNA from 1 species
UUAUUUCAAGUUUGCUGAAAUCACAUUUGUUUUCUUAGAUGCUUUCCAGAAGGUAACAGCAUCAAUUUCAAAAAUGCUGGGGUAAUAUGCAUCACGCAGUGCUACUCAACAUGAGAAAUCCUGGCUGCAUUAACUGUAUGUUGAGUGAUCGCACAGUACAACCUUGAGAAGCUUGUAAGGAGUAGACAACUAGAUGCGAGUAGUUUCAAUAUGGAUUCGCAUCAAAUGAUUUCUUGCCACUGAUUACCAUAACUUCUAUCCCAAAAUUCUGGGAACUGGUCAUACCAGCUAUGAAGUAUUGUAUACGUUGAAGAGCUCAAGGCCUUGCAAAAGCUCCGUCAGCCUUUGUAUUGGCAAACAGAUGGUUGUAGUUGCUUCUGAAUGAUAUGAUUAAUAGAUUCUGUAAAAAUGAAUUGUGCUAUACGCUUUCAGAGUUCUGUUAAGAUGUCUUGGUAGUUUUUGAUGCUUGUUUGAUUUAUAUUGCAUUCAGCUAUAAAUCAAAGGUUCAGAACACGAGUAUGUUGCUGAUUUCCAAAUAGAAAAAUUGCCUUGUGAUGUUAGUGUCCAUUGUUUUCACAGGAGAUCAGGUUCCUUGUUAUUGAAUCAAGAAGGCAAACGCAUCCAUGUCUGAGUUCAAUUGUGUCCCUUCUAUUUUCUAUUACUGACUCAUUUAUUUUGAUUUCUUCAUUGUGAUUGAAUUGGUUUUUUAUUCCAAAUUAGUCAAAACCUCAUAGAGUUAUUAAGUUCCGUUAGCAUUCAGAACUACGUACCAAAUGAUUAACAGGAUUAAAUUACAAUAAAGAAUUAAGUUCUUUAUUGUAAUUGAAUUUGCUUUCUCAUGUUUAGAGAUAUUAUGUUCUGGUUAGGGGUGAUUUCUUGAAGAGUCAAUCCAUUUGUGUUUAUACAUUUUUCUAUUGCCUUGAUUUCUGUUUUCUGGGGAGUUUAUACAGAUUCUUAUUUUAUGCUUCACAUGCCACAUGAAAGAUCAAAGCCUUCUGUCUGAACAUAAUAUACGUAGAAAGUUAAAUUUAUUUAUUUAUAAGCAUGUCCCAGUGCCCAGUGGCAUCCUCUUAACUUGUGAUAGUCAAAUGUAUUAUACGAUACAAUAUCAGCUUGACUUUAGCAUAGAGGAGAAUAGGGUUGGUGUUGGACUGAAUUCUGAUCCUUGAAUAAAUAUAACAGCUGCCUGAACCAGCUUAUUUGACUCCACAACUUUAUACUUGUUUUAUAGUCUAUGCCUACCUCCAUCGUCGGCAGCUUACAGUCUCUUUUAGCAUUUUAAAAAGUUUCAUGAUAUUCCAUAGUUCGCAUGGACUGCUACAAUUUAGAGAAACAUAAUUACGGCAUAUUUAAUUACCACGCGAGGAGUCUUCUUUUUUGCGCACCAAUAAUUCUUUGUACUUAAUUAGAAGAUGAGAAAUCCUUUAGCCGAACCACGAACUCACCUAUUAGUGGGGUUUUUUCCGCUUGCAUUCAGUCGCUCAAGUGAAAAUUGCGUGCAAUUUUUUCCUCAACUAAAAUUGGAAUAGAUAUUUUGUUAUUGCUGGCACAAAUUUUCCUUUAAGUCAAAUUGGAAUAGAUGUUUGUGAGAUGCCUAGACCUGAGAUUUUGUUAUGAUUAUAUGCAUUAAAGCUUUCGGUAGACCCUUGAAAUCUUAUGAUCAAUGUAUUAGAAAUUUAGAAUUGGGGUUUAUAAGAGCUAGUUUGACCAUGUUAUAACUUUUAAAAUUAUUGUUGCUAAUUGUGUUAUAGAAAUAAUUAAUCAGUUGUAAAAAUAAUUAGUUAAACAUUUGGUAAAUUUUAUUUUUAAAAGUGUUAGGAGUUUUAAAAGCAGACGUACGUACUUAGUAAAUCUCACUUUUAAAAUAUUAUAAGAAUGCAAAAGGUUUAAAUAUAUAUAAAUCUAUACAAUUUAUUUACACAUGCAUUUAUAGAUACAUGUAUAUAUAAUAAUUGAUAACUAAAAUAAAGAUUUUUAUUUUAUUAAUUUUUUUUGUUAUCUAAAAAAAGGUAAUAAUAAUAUCUUUAAUGACGUAUUUAUUAAUCAGUAAUCGGAAUGGACUGGAAUCAAAAUGGAGGAAUGGAAAUCGGAAUAAAUUGUUUACUUUAACUAUCAAUAUUGGAAUCGCAAUGAACUGUAUUAUCACUUAUAUAUUUAUUUUAUCUGAGAAUCAGAAUGGAUUGAUUUAAAUUACUAGACAGACCUUAUUAUUAUUAUUAUUAUUAUUAUUAUUAUUAUCAUCAUUAUUAAAUAAGGUAAAAAGGAAUUUUCAAUUUUUACUGAAGUAAAAAUAUCAAUUCACUUCUCAUUUUCAGCCCUAGGGAAUGAGACUCCCAUUCCACAUUCUAGAAUUUAUAGAGUCCACUCAAAUUUUCAUUCCCAUUCCCCCUCCUUGUUUUGCAAGUAAACAAGUUAAUAAUCCUAUUCUCUCAUUUCUACUCCCAUUCUCAUUCUCAAGUACUAACACAUCAAGGUAUUCGGUUCGGUUUUUGCCCAAUAGAACUGAAAUUAUUCGGUUUGGUUUGAUUUGGUUUAAUAUAAAAAGCCAAAGGGUUUAUAUUUUUAUGAACCAAAUGGUUUGUAUUUGAUUCAAUUCUAAAACUGAACCGAAAGCACAAACCAAUCGGUUCACGUAAUUUUAAUUAUUUUUAGAAAAAGAAAAACCAAAACUAAAUCGUAGAAUGUGAAUCCCUAAAAUCUAAAUCCCUAAUUCUCCUAACUAACUAAAACUAAUCACAGAACAACACAACCACAACAACCUAGCAAGCGCAGCGGUAGCCCCUCGAACCACGCUCACUCUCAAGUAUAGCAUGACAAUAGGGCUCUCUCAUGCAAUGAUAGGUAAUUUCUUAGUUUAGAAGGGAAAGUAAGAGAAACAGAGGAAGAAUAUAAGUUGAUUAAAAGGGAAAAGUCAAUUCUUAUUCCAAAAACUUGCUUAGUGCAAGUUCAAUAGGGUCUCUUAAAUAGACCUAUACAUAUAAUAAAAACUAGAAAAGACGAAAAUCACUUGAAAAUAAAAAGCAUGAUCACUUAAAUGGUAAACAUACAUAACCGCCAUGAGCUACAUGCAACCUAAGUCAAAUAAUCAACUGAAGAAACUUGAUCCCCAUGCAUAUUGAGCACAUACCAUUCCCCACCCUUUAGAAACACCUUGUUGGUGCGGUUAAAGUGAGGGUGAGCCUUUGAGAAUCACCAACAGUUCCAACGAGUGUCCUCAAUUGCUGCUCCUAUCCCUAUAACCAGUAUUGAGUUGUACGAAUGGCACAUGAUCUUCAAUCAUGAAUAGUUGCAGCUUUUAACAACAGUGUGAUACAAACUAAUAAAAAUAAUAAAAAUUAUUUAUUUUAUUUUAUUGUAUUAGUUAAUUUUGAACUAGUCAAAACUAGUUGCCCUUAUUUUGUGGAACUACAUGUAAUUAGUGGAGCAUUAUGUGAGAACAUGCUUAGUGUUACUAAUUUUUAGGUUGUAAUCCUAAAUAAACUUUUAUUAUAUAAAGCUUAAUGUUACUCAAUAAAAAGGAUCAUGAGUUUAUUAUUUUGGCAACAUAAAAGUUGUAAUUGGGAGUUUAUUGGUUUCUCGAAUAACCAAUACUUAUUUGGAGGUUUGGAUUUCCUUGAAUUAACUCCAUUUGUCAUCUAAUUUUUCUAUUUCAUUUGAUUUCUCCUUAUAAACUUUAGUGUUCGUAUCACAGUGGCCAAGAAUAAGUUUCUCGUCACAAUAAUAACACAACCCUUUUCCACGAUGAGCAUGUGCUUCUUAGUUAGAUAGUUGCUGGAUAUGAGGGGAAGCGAUGUCAUCGGCUAUUUAAUCAACCUUAGGAGGUGGACCUAAGACUCUAACAAAGCUAUUUGGGGUUGGUUGCUAUAUCACCAAAAUAGAGGGUGGUAGAGAAAAGUGACUAGUGCAUUGAGAAAGUGAAUUUCGCUCCUCAAUCAGUCUUGUCACACCAAUGGUGUUAGCCAAGGUAAAGGGCUAUUUAAUCUUGACAUCUAGUUGUAUCUCAUCCUGAAGACCUACAAUAAAACAACCAAUUAAAAAACAUUCGAGUAAGCCAUCAACCUAAUAUAAAAGCUUUUCAAAAGUUUAUUGAUAUUAAGCUAAUAAUGGAAGUCUAUUUCAGGUGCAUCAAAGCCUUAGAUGGGUCCUCAUAAUCCAUUAGUUCGAAUCGUAGAAGGACUGUUGUUGAUGCUGAAAUCUGCUCGCCCUCUACCCAACCAAAUCAUUCCACCAACAUUUGUGUAUGCAAUGGAGAGAAUACUGCCCUUUUGCCUCCUUCAGCAACUGCGGAUGCUCCAGGGGUUGGAAUCACCUUUUUCCCUUCUUUCUAAUCCUGCACUCACAGAGAUAGAUCAGAGACGCCGGUGGUUUUACCAGCAUAAACCCUCCAAUACUUAAGUUAGCACAAGGUGUUUUACGGGAAAACUAUGUAACUUGGAUUGUUUGGUUUCUCGUAAUGCUUUCUAAAACUUGUAAAGAAUAUAAUCUGGUUUCAAUUUGGCAGAGUUUUCCUUUUUCUCUCAAUUUUUCCAUCCCUUUUUUCAUUGGUUUCCCGGCUUCUUGUAACCGUUGUCCCACGUUCCUAUCUACUCCUCAUGCCCCCCCUUUUAUCGGGUGAUGGCAGGCCUUCAUGGCCUCCAACCACUGGAUUGUGGGUAAACAUGGGAUGACAUGUCCCUCUUGACGGUUUGGGGCAUAGCGAAACUACCGCAUUUUCGUGAGAUCGUGUGCCCCUUGUUUGGGUGAUGGGUAUCUGGUUGGUAUAUGUCUCUAGUCGGUACAUUCCUCUGGUCGGUGCUCGUCUCUAGUAGGCCCACUUUUGUAUGAGGCGUUUUACCAGGGCUCUUUUUGUGCCGCUCAGUUGAGGUGAUUCACCUCGGGGUGGGAAAUGAGGGCAUGGCUGAGCUGGUGCUCUUUAUUACUUAAUACCAGUCCCCUAGUUUCUGGUCUUGCGAGUGAAAUGAGUUGAGAUUAGAAACUAAGAAUCGGAUUUUAUCGACCCCGGGAAAUUCCUAUCUGGUCUUCGUGUUAUUGUGAUGGACCUGAGGUUCUGCCUUUUGUUUAGGGAGAUUUUUUAUCUAAGUAUGGGCCUUUGUGAGCAUGUCCAAUAUAUAGCUGGGCUAACAUCUCGUCAGGCCUUUUAUAACGGUCAGUGACGUGUCGUUUCUCGUCCUUUCAUAUUUGAAAUUUGAAACGACGGCUUAUCUGCCCUCGAUAUACGGCGAGUGAGCUAGCACCCGUAUAACUUAAACGCUUCCAUUUCCCUAUUUCAUUUCAAAUCCCUAAAUUGAAGCUGUCAUUGCGUUUCACUAUCCGCCAUUUCACUGUAAACUAAGUCCCUCUUUGGACUUCAAUCACACUUUUUGCGUCCGAAACCUCUAUUUGCUGGGUCCUCUCUCCGUCACAGCAGCACUACCAGUGCCAGUUUAUUCUAGGUAUCACUUUUAACUUCUUCGCUGGUUGUUGUUGAUUGGGUUCUGUGUUGCCCCUUUUUGUACCCAUACACUCGGAUUUACUGUGUUUUCCUUUUUGAGUUUUUGAUAUGUCAAACCGAAAGGGGAAACUAAUUGUAGAUGAGAGUGAUGAAGAGGUGGGGGACUCAUACCCCAACCUGUUUGGGCCUAAUGACCCCUUAUCAUCUUCUCGUAGUAUAAGUCUUUCCCAUCAUAGGGAUACCCUAGAGUAUCCUCAUCGCGUGACCACUUUGCCUUCCCCUGAAUUAGAACCCGUGGGAAACCGUGGUGGUUCAGCUUCUUGCUCUGGUGAAAAUCACAGUUCUGAGGGCUGGGGGGGUCCCUGGAAAGUGGGUGAAGGUAAGGAGAGUAGCUCCGAGCCGAGCAGACCCUCUAAGAAGAGAAACUUUGGUCAUAUGAUGGCGGGAGAUGCUUAUCCCAUUGACUAUAUCACCUGUGUUACCACCCACACUGACCUACUCAAGUUUAGAAACCUCUACCAUAUCCCUGAGGUGGUUCUUCUUUUAAUCCCUGGGAAAGGUGACUUCCCCAGUCGGCCUCCAAGGGGAUAUGUCACGAUGGGCACGAUUACCCCUUCAACCUUACUUUGCUUGGAUACUGGGUGGUAUGCAUCUGGCUCCAGGUCAGCUUCACCCGAAUGGGUGGAGGGUUCUCUCAGCCAUGUAUGUGCUAUGGAAAAAGUGUGGACUUGAGGAGCCUUCUCUUGAGGAAGUGAAGCAUUUAUACCAGCUGAUGAGCUUUCCAAGGGAAGCAGGUUGGUACUACUUCAUGUCAAGCUCUGCAAAGAGGAAGCCUGUCACCGACUUUCCUUCUUCCUGUAAAAAUUAGAAGAACAAAUUCUUCUUUGCUGGAGGAAAUUGGUGUCCAACAAUUCAUUCGCUUAGUGGUGAUAUUCACCUCCCAACACAUUUUGUCACCCCAGGUCGUUAAUUUUUCUGCAUACUUCACUUCUCUAAUCGUUACUUAUCGAGUUCCUUAACCUUGUUUGUUCUUUCAGAAUUGUGGGGUUUGAUCAAGAAACUUGACGAUAGACCACUGCUCCAGGUGGAAAUGGCUCUGGUGAACGCGUCUACCUGUCACGAUCUCAUAUCGUUAAUAAAUCUUGUCGGGUUGCACUUAGUGGACGUAGCUAUUGGGAUGGACAACAAGAUCCUCAGCGCUAUGUCUAAGAAACACACUUUGGGUUCAGGUAGCUCCAGCAACCUCCCUCCUCCUUUGAAGAAAGUCAAUGUUGGUUCCUCCAAGGCUUCUGCUCCUGCUCUGCCCCCUCCUUCACCUCGGAAGAAUGGUAGGGAGAAAGUUAGUGACAAGAGCCCCGAGGUCAGCAUUCAAUUUGGAGACCGAUCCUCUCCUCUACCGCCUCGGGACCAGGGUGACUAUCUGACCCUGUACCAGAGAGAUUACAACAAGUCGAUGGGACCAAAAAUGGUCAAGGACAUUGAAAGCAUGAACCUCAGCGAGCUAGGUGGUUCAGUUCAAAUGGUCUCCUUUAAGCUGGCUACUCUGGUUUCUUGCUACAAGAAUAGGUCUACGCGCCAAGAGAGGAGGCUUCAAGCUGAUAACGAGGACUUGAAGAAAAAGGCUAAUUCUGUUGAUCGCUCGAAGGAGAAGCAGAUUGAGCUACACAAGCAGAUCAUGGACCUGGAGGAGAAAGUGGCUAUUGCUGAGUCUAACUCCUCCAAGCUUGAGGGUGAGUUGGGUGAUCUAAAGUCCGAUCUCCAGGUUGCUCACAGUGAACGAGAUACUUUGAGGACGACCCUUGAGGAACAUAUUAGGUCCUUAGAUGAGCAGGUAGCCGAGCUGAAAGGCAAAUCUGUUGAGGUGGACAAUUGACUGGAUGCAGAAUAUAACUCUGGGCUCGCCUUUUGCUACAAGUGCAUCAUGUUUGUGCUUAAGGGAGAAUAUCCUGAGCUUGACAUGAGCAAGCUGGAGGCUGGAGUGCAGAAAUACAUGGCCGAGCCCGAUCAAGGGGAUAAGGAGCAGGGAGAGCAGGAUCAGGUGGAGGCUCCUUCAGAUGGGGUGCAGGAGAGGGAAACAGAGGAUUAUGCUCUUGAAACAGGUCAGGGGUCACUGCCUGCUCCCCCAGAAGUUGCUGGUCCACCUUUUAUCGAGGCUGCUGAACCUCAUAAUCCUUAGGCUUAUAUAUAUAUAUAUAUAUAUAAAUAUUAUUUUGUAUAAAUUCUAAACUCCCAUCUGUCUACAAAUGUUUGGAUGUUUAUAAACUUUGGAUGCUUUUUGUUUGCUUUCUUGCCAUGGUUUUGGUUGUGAAUCGUUUCUACAAGUUACCUUAACAAUUUUGAGUGACUUUGGCUGCUGGUCCUUUUGUCGUCCGAGCAGGAACUGACACUUGUUUGCCUUAGCGAAAUUUGUAAAACUUACAUUUCAGUUUUUCAAACGACUGAGCAGGAACUGGCGUUGGUUUGCCUUAACGAAAUUUUGUAAAAUUGCCUGCUGGUGCUUUAGGCGACCAAGCAGGAAUAGGCACUUGCUUGCCUUCAUAAAAUUUAUAGAUUUGCCUGCUGGUCCUUUAGGCGAUCGAGCAGGAAUAGACACUUGCUUGCCUUAAUAAAAUUUGUAGAUUUGCCUGCUGGUCCUUUAGGCGUCCGAGUAGGAAUAAACACUCGCUUGCCUUAAUAAAAUUUGUAGAUUUGCCUGCUGGUCCUUUAGGCAACCGAGCAGGAAUAUGCACUUGCUUGCCUAAAUAAAAUUUGUAGAUUUGCCUGCUGGUCCUUUAGGCGAUCGAGCAGGAAUAGGCACUUGCUUGCCUUACUAAAAUUUUUAGAACGAGGGAAUUUAUGCUGAAUUCAUCUUUAUUGAACUUUGCAUGGAUUACAAGAGGCGAGAUAUAGUCACGUGUAACAAUUCAUCAUGCUUUUAACAUAAAUAACUUAUUGAAAUAAAACUUGGUAAGGCAGUUUGCUUACUGGAAGUAUUUCUUCAAGUGCUUAGCGUUCCAUGAUCUUUUCACGUCUCGUCUAUCUGGGUAAAUCAGCUUGUACGCUCUUGGGCCAGUUAUUCAUACCACUCUGUAUGGGCCCUCCCAUUUCGGGCUAAGAACACCAUGAAUAGGAUCUCUUGUGCAUUGGUUCACUUUUCUAAAUACCCAAUCUCCUGCUCGGAACUGUCUCAUGCGAACAUUUUUGUUGUAGUAACGCAUGAUCCUUUGCUGGCAUUUGGCUGUUCUCUGCGAUGCCCCUUCUCUUUUUUCCUCCAGCAGGUUCAGGCUCAAGCAGAUCUGCUCGUCAUUUUGUUCUUUGUUGAAAUACUCUGUCCGAUAUGCCCCCACCCCAAUUUUUGCUGGGAUUACUGCCUCAUGACCGAAAGCUAAAGCAAACGGGGUUUCUCCCGUGGCCAUUUUGUGGGUUAUCCGGUAGGCCCAUAACACUCCUAGUAACUCGUCGACCUAAGCUCCUUUUUUUUCUCAUAGCCUGGUUUUCAAGAGUUUCUUUAUUACUUUGUUGGCUGCUUCCACCUGCCCAUUUGCCUUGGGGUGUGCUAGGGUACAAAACUUCAGGUCCACCCCUAAAUUUUGGCUAAAUUCUCUGAAGUUGUGAUUGUCAAACUGUCUCCUAUUGUCUGUAAUGACAGCAAUGAGGAUCUCCUAUCUGCAGAUGAUAUUCUUCCAAACAAAAUCCGUUAUCUUUCUCUCUGUGAUUUGACUGAGGACCCUUACUUCUACUCAUUUGGUGAAGUAGUCUAUAGCCACAAUUGCAUGUAUUACUUCUCCUCGGCCCUUGGGUAAUGGGCCAAUCAGGUCAAUUCCCCACUGAGCAAAAGGCCAUGGGGAUGACAUAGUGGUUAACCUUUCUGGGGGCUGAGCAGGGACUUCCGAGAAGCUCUGGCUGACUUUAUAGUUUUUUGCCAUCCCCGUCGCAUCCUGAUGCAUGGUCGGCCAGAAGUACCCUUGCCGAAGCACCUUGAAAGUCAAAGUUCUCGCCCCCGAGUGGUUGCUGCAUAUUCCUUCAUGAAUUUCCCUCAACACAUAAUUUGCUUCCUCGUCAUCCAAGCAUCUCAAAAGGGGCAAGGUGAAUCAUCGGCGGUAGAGUACCCCAUCGAGUAGCGUAUACCUUGCUGCCUGACAUUUCAACUUUCUUGCUUGCUUCCUGUCCUCUGGUAAGAUGCCCUCACGAAUGUAUAAUAGAAUGGGGUCCAUCCAGGAUUUUUCGAUGCUCACCUGCAUUACUUCUGCUUCCUCCCCUAUGCUUGACGAGGUUCUCACUUUUAGUGGAAUUGACUUGGGUAAUUUUGGAUCUGCAAUUGCGGCCAUUCUGACCAAUAUAUCUGCUCGGUAAUUCUCAUUCAGAUAUAUCUGCUUUAUUUCUAUCUCUUGGAAGAGCUCAACCAUCUGUUUUGCCUUCUUCAAAUAAAGCCCCAUCUUCUCUUCCCUCGCUUGGAAUUGAUCACUGAGCUGAUUACAGACUAAUUGGGAAUUUGCUCAGAUUUCUAUCCUUUUUGUUCGUAGUGCGUGUGCAAACCCCAGCCCAGUGAUGAAAGCUUCAUAUUCAGCUCGGUUAUUCGUAAGCUGAAAUUUAAAUUUCACUGCAUAAGAUACAUCGGCCCCUUCUAGGCUUCGUAUUACAAUUCCUGCUCCAGAUCCCUGUUUACUACGUGACCCAUCAAUUAUUACUAGCCACACCCCCUUUGAUUUCUCCUGCUUCACUGGUUGCUCCUCCCAAAUUUCCUCCCCUAAUUUAACACGGUCAACCAUAAAAUCGGUCAAGGCUUGGGCUUUGAUUGCUUCUCGGGGUUUGUAGGAUAGGUCGAAUUCGCUCAACUCCACGGACCAUUUACUAACCGACCAGAUGCAUCUAGUUUUAGAGCAUUUACCGAAGAGGCUGGUCAGUCAUCACAACUAUCGGGUGGGCCUGAAAGUAAGGUCUGAACUUGCGUGCUACUGUUAUUAAAGCUAGUGCCCAUUUCUCCAUUAGUGGAUAUCUGGUUUCUGCAUCUACCAGGGCCUUGCUAGUGUAGUACACAGGGUGCUGCUUUCCUUCCUCUUCUCUGACUAAUACCGAGCUGGUAGCCCAUUUAAAGACUGCCAAGUACAAAUACAGCUGGUCACCUUCUCCAGGAGUUGAUAGUACAAGGCGCGGGCUAAAUAUUCCUUCAGCUGCCCGAAUGCCUCCUCACAUUCUAACGUCCACUCCAUUUUCCUUCAAUUCUUUAUGAUUUGGAAGAAAUGGUGACAUUUAUCUGUGGCUCGCGAGAUGAAACGGUUCAAUGCUGCUAACUUCCCUGUAAGACUCCGUACCUCUUUAACUGUCCGGGGGGACUUCAUUUUUGUUACUGCCCGUACUUUUUCCGGGUUGGCCUCAAUCCCUCGAUGGCUCACCAUGAACCCCAAAAAUUUACCCGCGCUAACUCCAAAUGCACACUUUUCCGGAUUCAGCUUCAUCUGAUACUUCCUUAGCAGUUCAAAAGUCUCUUCCAAAUGCUUCACAUGAUCCUUCGGUUCCUUGGACUUUGUGAUCAUAUCAUCCACGUAUACCUCCAUAGUGUGACCGAUCAGUGGCUUGAAAAUCUUAUUCACCAACCUUUGAUACGUAGCCCCUGUGUUUUUCAGGCCAAAAGGCAUCACCUUGUAGCAAAAUAAACCCAUGUUAGUUAUAAAGGUGGUACUCUCCUCAUCUUGCUUGUUCAUGGGUAUCUGGUUGUAUCCCGAAAAGGCAUCCAUGAAGCUAAGCAGACUAUGACCUGCCGUUGAGUCCACCAACUGAUCUAUUUUAGGUACGGGAAAGCUGUCAUUUGGGCAUGCCAUAUUAAGGUCUGUGAAAUCCACAUACAUUAUCUAUUUCCCAUUGGCCUUCUUUACCAGCACUACAUUAGAAAUCCACUCCGCAUAUUUAGCCUCCCUUAUAAAUCCUGCUUUCAACAGCUUCUCCACCUCGGCAUUUAUGGCCUCGUACCUUUCCUAGUUAAAGCACCUCCUUUUCUGCAUCACCGGCCUUGCCCCUUUCUUGAUUGCCAACUUGUGGCAAGCUACCCCGCGAUCAAUUCCUGGCAUGUCCUCAUGAGACCAGGCAAAUAUAUCUGCGUGGGACUAUAGGCACUUCACCAGCUCAUCUUUUAUUGCUUCACCUAAUCCUGACCCGAUCUUAAUCACUCUGCUCGGGUUAUUCUUGCUCACAAAAAUCUCCUCCAGUUUCUCGACAGGCUCUUGACGACCCUUCUUAGAAUCUCUUCGGUUAUCCAGAGAGGUAACAUGUAGCGUCUCCUUGGCCGCUGUUGCGUAACAGCUCCUUGCUAUUCUCUGGUCACCUUUUACUACGCCCACAACUCCGUUUACUCUGUAUUUCAAUGCUAGAUAAUGCAUGGAUAUAAUGUAUUAGCUUGCUCUCAUAAAAGGUCGCCCUAGUAUCAUCUGGUAGGGGUUUUUCUCUUCCACCACUACGAAGUCCAGCAUAAUUUUCUUUUUAGAUGACUUCGCUCCUACGGUAAUCGGCAGCUCUAUGAUCCCCAUAGAGGUCAACUGUCUUCCUCCAAAUCCCUUUAAGGAUGUGUUCGUUCGCUCCAAUUUCAAAUCUGCAAUCCCCAUAUCAUCUAGGGCCGACUUAAAUAAUAUGUCGACCGAGCUGCCUAUAUCCACCAAUAUUUGUCGGAAUUCCUUACCCGCCACUAUUACUUUAACUACCAGUGCAUCCUCAUGAGGGUAUAAAAUGCCCUCUUCAUUAUCAUCUGUCCACAUAAUGGGAACUUGUCUUACUUUCACCCUCUUGGUCGUUGGUAAGUUGAAAAGUACCUCUUUGCUGGUCAAAGCGUAUCUCUCAUAAUUCUUUCGUGCUCUGUUUGAGUCUCCAGCCAAUGUUGGCCCUCCUGUUAUCACCUGAAUAUUUAGCUGUUCCCGCUCUAGGCUCCUUUCAACUCCAUCACCCAGCGUAUAUUGUGAUUCAAUGACGGGGGAUACUCCAUCUACAUACUCAUCCAAAUACUGGUUCCUCACCAAAUCUUCCACUUGAGUCUUCAAGUCAUGAUAUUGGCUGAUAGUGUGACUAUGAGUGUCGUGAAAUUUGCAGAAUCUGUUCUUAUCAUGUCUAUGAGCGGGUUUUGUUAUAGGGGCAGGAGGGUACAGCAGGCAUCGUCCCUCGAUUCUCUCAUACAACUCCUCCAUAGAGACUUUCAGUGGGGGUGUACUGUUUGUACGCCAAGCUUUGGUCAAUCAGUUGGACCGUUCAGCUAUCGUGGGUAUCGUUCCGAGCUGGUAUUGUAGGUAGCUGGUUUGGUUGACCAGCCCUGGAGUUAACUAUAUGCAGUACCCUGGGAGCGCUGUGAUAAGGGUGGGCGACUAACUGCCUGAAUUCUCGUUGCCACUCGGGGAAUGAGGGGCGCGGAGGCUGAGCUCAGUUGUGUUGGAGCUGUUGCGGUCUCUGAGCCAUGGGAUAAGGGCGAGACCAAGCUGAUAUUCCACACAUCACUAGCGAUUCUCCAGCUCGCCUUCCUGAUCCGCUCCCGCUCAGGGUUCUUCAAUCUCCAUGUCUCUCUUUGCCUGCUCAUACCCCGUUGAAUAAUUCUGAACGAUGGGACUUCACAAGUUGUACCAUAAUCGGCCUAUUCUUACACCCUCUUUUAAUCCCCUUAACGCCUGCAGGUGAUUGAAAGCUCCCAGAUCAAGCACGGCCCAAUGGUAUCUUUUCACAAAAUCCUGAAGGGAUUCGUGUUCCUCCUGCUUCAUCCCCAUCAAAUCCAUCAUAUCGUCAUCUGGGCCUACUGAUUAUCGGAACAGUGUUGUGCAAAUUUUAAUGAACUCGCAAGCACACGAAUCUAUUGUAGUAUAGAUCAUUGGUAACGAGUGUCGAUCUCAUGAGGAGGUGGAUUUUAAUUGUGUAUAGAAUUGAUUUUGUAAAUGGGUGGUUGGAUUUGUGGUGGAAGUGAUUCAGAUUAUCCUAAAAUUGGAAUUAAAAUGGUGAAAAUAAUUUGAAGAGAAUUCUAUUGAAAUGACGUACUUGGGUAUCUGGAUCCGUAUCAACAUGCAUCAUGGGCUAAAUAUUCCUUAUUAAUACCAAUUAAAUCAUGAGGGGGGAAUCCACACCUCAUGAACCACGCUCUAAUCAAUAUGGUGUUAAGGGCUUAUCGUGCCAAAUAAUAAUAACCUGUACUAGAGAGCCGGUGUAACCAAGGCGGUAUCUAGACAAUACUAGUAUUAUUUGUCAACGAGAAGUCAAAACAUCCAAAAAAACUAGAGGGGAAGAGAAAAUAAAUUUACCAAAUAAAGCCCAUGACACAUGUUGAGACUUCACCUUCAACCCAAGCUUGAAAGAAAAUUAGCUACUCAUAAUUGAACUAGGGGCAAAAUGGGAAUUUAUUAAAAUACGUAGAAAAUACAAGAUGGAGAGAGAAUUACAGAAAAUGGAGUCCAAAAAUGGAUUUAGGGAUAUCAAAUUAGGGGGAGAGGCCCCCUUUUUAUAGAUACAUUGAGUAAAUCGUGGUCAUCGGAUAAAAAAUAGUUUGGACGCUCAGGAUUGCGCCACGUCAUCAGUCAACAGUCCGCGUGAACAGUACACGAUUUGACCACGCGGAUGAACAGUAACACAGUUUGACCCGGGUGAACAGUGACGCAGUUUGGUUGAAAAUGAUCCUGUGUGUUGCAUGUACCGUACAUGAGAUUUUUGAUCCACUGAUAUGCUGCCACGUCAUCGAUCAACAGUGCAUAAGAAUUUUAGUCCAACAGGAUCGUGACACCUCAUCAGUCAAUGCCACAUCAUCGGUCAAUGCCACGUCAUCGAUCCGUCUAUGUGAACAGUGCCGUGAACAGUAACGUAGACAGUACCCGUACAUGUGAAUAGUACCGUAUAUGUGAAUAGUAUUAUUUUUCUUUUUAUGCUCCUCCUAAGAUUUUUGACCGUCCUAAGUUCAAAAAUGAUGUCCGUUUUGCCAUCUGAUCUCUCGUUUAUUGUGAAAUGACUGUGAUACCCCUAAAAUACAUAAAAUACUUGAUUAAAAUAAAACACACGUAAUUAAAUUACAAGUAAGGGUUGUUAGUAAGACAUUUUCUAACACUCAACAAACAGCUCGGCCAACUCUUGGUAUAUCUGCUCGUAUCCCCUUAUACUUCCUCGUGGUAGCUUACGAUACCAUUCUCUGGCUCGUCCUUCUAGUGUCAAUGGGAACACCCUGCACCUCUGAGCUGCUGUUAGCCCCUGUAUGCCCGUCAUGUCAUUGAAGCACUCAAUGUGCACUAGCGGGUCGCUUCUCCCGGAGUACUUGAGGUUGGGAAAGCAGAAAUCUCUUGGGAUAAUAGUGCUUAUGAUCUCGGCUGAUAGCGGAGAUUCUUCAUCCAGCAUUAUCCUCCAGCUUGGAGGCUUUCUCUUGCCCUAUAUCUCAUCCAUCACCUGCGCUAGCCUGCGCACCUCACCUUCCAAUUCCAAAGCACGGUCAAGGUCGCGCGCAGCUACUUGAUCUCGCUCCUGCUCGGCAUUAUGCAGUCGCUGUCUGAGCUCGCCUUCGUCAACAUUUACUCCUCGGUCAUUGAUUUCUAGAACUCGCCCAAGGCGAGAUUGAUCUCUCCUUUCAUCCACACGCUCCCCGGGGAUCCGACCAGCACUUCUAUGGGGAUGUAUCCCAUAGGGUUGUUCUACUAGCGGAGGGAUCUCCUCGAUUCUACGCCUUCGUAGGUUGGGUUCCGCCAUAGUUUCAUCCCUUACCACAGUGGUCUCGCCUUCCCUUCUCCGCUCAUCCCUAAAGUCAUAUAAUAUAGCUGUGAGCGUCUCCAUUUGGUUUGCCAUCUGUUCCAUUCGGUCUUGCAUCAUCCUCUCUCUAGCUUCAUUCGCGAUCUCUCGGAGAGUGAUCGAUUCACCAGUUUCAUUGUCGCCCCCUAAGGCGUCCUUCCUUGUCAUAUCCAUAACUAAUCGUUCACUGCGUCUCUGGUGAUUACUAACUUGAUGGUAGCUUUUUAUCCAGCUCCCUACAGACGGCACCAAAAUGUUGAUGCUGAAACAUGCUUGCCCUCUGCCCGGCCAGAUCGUUCCACUAACGUUUGUGUAUUCAAUGGAGAGGAUACUGCCCUUUUGCCUCCUUCAGCAACUACGGAUGCUCCAGGGGUUGGAAUUACCUUUUUCCCUUCUUUCUAAUCCUGCACUCACAGAGAUAGAUAAGAGACGCCGGUGGUUUUAUCGGCGUAAACCCUCCGAUGCUUAAGUUAGCACAAGAUGUUUUACGAGAAAAUUAUGUAACUUGGAUUGUUUGGUUUCUUGUAAUGCUUUCUAAAACUUGUAAAGAAUAUAAUCUGGUUUUAAUUUGGCAGAGUUUUCCUUUUUCUCUCAAUUUUCCAUCCCCUUUUUCAUCGGUUUUCCAGCUUCUUAUAGCUGUUGUCCCACGUUCCUGUCUACUCCUCAUGCCCCCCCUUUUAUUGGGUGAUGGCAGGCCUUCAUGGGCCUCCAACCACUGAAUUGUGGGUAAACGUGGGAUGACAUGUCCCUCUCGAUGGUUUAGGGCAUAGCGAAACUGCCGCAUUUUCGUGAGAUCGUGUCCUCCUUCUUUGGGUGAUGGGUAUCUGGUCGGUAUAUGUCUCUAGUUGAUACAUUCCUCUGGUCAAUGCUCGUCUCUAGUAGGCCCACGUUUGUAUGAGGCAUUUUACCAGGGCUCUUCUCGUGCCGCUGAGGUGAUUCGCCUCGGGGUGGGAAAUAGGGGCAUGGCCGAGCUGGUGCUCUUUAUUACUUAACAACUGUCUUUGAAAAUUUUGGCUAAGUUAGUAGGCCACAAAAUUUUAUUAACCAUCUAUGCAAUUAUAGAGCAAUCCCCUCCAAAUAGAAUGAUGCCAAUUGUAUUUAUUGUUCUAGGACUACAUUCUCAAAUCCGAAGAAUUAUUCCACCUUAUGAAUCCAACCAGUCGGAUCAUCUCCGUUGAAAUUUGGAAAGUUUAGUUUGAGAUAGUGGUGAUGGUUGGGAAAGUUUGAGGAGAAAGGUUUUAUGGCUUGGUUAGAGGAUGUUGUAGCCUGUAGGUGCAAAGGGGUUAAUUUCAGAGGCAAUUAUGUGUGAGGUUUGUGAUGCACGAAGAGAUUGAAGAUUUCUUGAACCUCAUUACGAAACUCAGCAUUUGAUUGACUUCGGGUAGCCGUAUUUCGAGCAACCUUUGUUUGAUACCAGAUGAUAGGUAAUUUCUUAGUUUAGAAAGGAAAGUAUGAAAAGUAGAGGAAGAAUAUAAGUUGUUUAGAAGGAAAAAGAUAAUUUUUAUUCCAAAAGCAUGCCCACUAUAAAUCCAAUAAUUUCUCUUAAAUAAACCUAUACAUAUACCAAAAACUAAAAAACUAGAAAAGAGGAAAAUCACUUGAAAAUAAGAACAUGAUCAAUUAAAACGGUAACAUGCACAACCGCCACGAAUCAAAACCAAUCGAUUUUAAAUAGUAUGAAUUGAAAUCAAAUUAAACCAAACCAAACUAAAUCGGACCGAACCGAAAUAUUAGGUUCGGUUCUAAAUUUUGGUUUGAUUUUGGUUCAGUUCUAAAUUUUCGGUUCGAUUCUAACUUGUUGUUUUAACACCACGAUUUAUGUUCGUUGGAAGUAUCUUCCUCGUCGUCCAAAAUUCAUCCCACUUGCAGCUCAUUCUCUCAUGCAAUCCCUCAUCUUCUGUAGUGAUUUGAUUGCUCUGAUAACUAUAAGCAAUAAACCACUGCCCAAGAAAUUUUGCCAAGAACAAUUCAAGAUGAAAAUAAGCCAAUGAUUGAUUUAAAGUUCUAAUGAUGAAACGAAACCUUAGCUCUAGGUUAAUGGAGAUUUAACAAAAGAUUGAAACAAAUCAAGAAGCAAACACACUCAAUGCAAAGACAGGAUUUUAAUGUGGUUCAAUUAUGCACAAAGUUCAUAAUCUACAUCCGCGGGAGAAGCCACAAAAAUCUCUUUAUUGAUGAUUCAAGAUGAAUUUUAUUGAGAAAAUACAGAGAUCGUUACAAGGAACAAGAUUACUCUUUCUCACUUUCUAGAAACUCUCUGAAAAGCUCAAUCACACACACGUAAUCUGCUUCAACAACCAGCCUCUUUAUACUCUCUUAUGAAAACCCAGAUUGCACAGCCCUUUGACACGUGUGUAACAGCUUCUAACGACUUGAUUCCUCCCUCACAUGCUAGCUCACGUGUUUUACUUAAGUUUCCUAAAAACGACACAAAGCAAUGUCGUUCUGCCUUAUGCUGAAGAGCCCGUGACUGCACGUGAGUUGUAAGUAAUUCCAACUGAUCAAAACGCAAUCGUUUUGGGACUCUGAGUUUUGAAUUCAUAACACUCCGGUCCACAUCUUCCUCACCCACUAAUAUAAACAAAGCACAAAACAAUUCCAAUCUCAGAAUUAAGAUCAUGCUCAGACAAAUCCUUAAGCCCAUCAGCGAUCUAUCGUCUACUGCGAGCUAAUCGAGAGUGCCAUCUAAUACGAGGUGGCUGAGAGACCGUGAGAGUGAGAUGUUGACCAGAGAUAGACAUAGUGAGAGUGAGCGUGGUUGCGUGAGUGUGGAAGAAAGGGGAUGCUGCUAUGCUGCGUGUUGUGCUUGAGAGUGAGCAUAGUUGCAUGAGAGAGAGAGGGGCUACUGCUAUGCUGUACUUGAGAGUGAGGGUGGUUGCAUGAUAUCUGCUCAAUAUGUAUGGGAUGAAGUUUCUGAUGGGUAAAAAUCAUGUUUUUAAAUUUUUAUAAAACCUUUUUAAGAUCGCUUUCAUAUAAUAUAUAAGAAUUUGUAAUCUAGAAAUCAUACCUUGAAAAUCCGAUUUAGCUUUUUCCGCUGGAAUGAUUUAGGCUCCCAGAUCACGAUCCAUCACCACCACUCCUGUUAGAUUACGAUCCGUCACCACCACGCUUGUUAGAACACGAACUGGCACCAAUGAUCUUCCAGGUUAUGACUCAAGUUUGAUCUGCACUUGACGUGUGGGCGCCUUUAUCACUACCAAAGCAACUAGCACAAGAAAACUUUUCUCUCAACAAUAGAGAGAAAAAUCUUUUUCUCUGAUCUGUAUAAAGUGCCUGCUCCCUUUUUCUUUAGAGAAAAUAAGCAUUUUAUAUCUCCCUUUAGUGAAAACCCUAAGCUCCAAAAAAUCAAAAAACAAAACUCACGUUACUUGCUUUUUCUAUAGGGGACACACCUUGUAAAAUAACAUAAUAGCCCUUACACACAAGCGAAUUAAAUGGAGCCUCCCACUAAAAGAUAUAUUUAGGCUUUUGACCCAAAUAGCUUAUCUUACUUAUUAGUCCAGUAGUGGUGCAUUCAAUUAAAUGAGCUAACCCGGGGAUCAUUUGGGAACAUACAAUAGUGGCUAUAACAAUUAGACCUGUAAUUAAACUAGCCUAAUUAUUUAAUUCCAAAUCUACUCCACUAAAAGAUUGGAAUUGACCUCCAUAAUUGUAUGCUCGAAUAAUAAUUUGUCCCAAGUCUAAUUGAUUUCUUUACUGCACAAUCCUUUGUAUCACAUCGUUAAUUCAAUUGAUAUCUCAACUGUCCAAUCAAUUUAAUAACAUCUUGUUCCUUGAUACUUAUUGGUUUUCUCUAAUGAUCAUUUUCAACAUACUAAAUAUGUUGACACACUCUGGCCAAAGAAUUCUAUGAUCAAGUGCCGAAAACCCAUCAAGAGAUGUAUUGUACAAAUUCUAUAUUGUUAAUCCAUAACUCCAAUACUCAUAAUUGCUCCCACCAAGAUACCGGGUAAUCUUGACCACAAGAAUGUGUCGUGCCCAUUGGUAACUCAAAUGGAAUAACAAUUACAAUCAUGAAAUCAUAAUUAACUCAAGAUUAAGAUUACAGUAAAAUCAAUAGAUUUAAUAAGUCUGACAGUCAUUUCAAUGUUAAUUAAAUCUCAUAUGUGAUCCUGUUCAAUGUAGUCGUACUACAUUAAUAAAUUCAUACAUGAUUAAGACAAAUCAUUCAAUGAAUUCAUUACAGUCUAUACUUAAAUAAAGUGCCCAACUUUAUUUAUCAACUGCGAACUAAAUUUAUUUAAUCAUAAGAUAACUUAUAUUUAUGUCUUCUGUGAAUCCACAUGGUGAUCACAUAAAUACAUAUAAUAUGAUUAAAUGGACUUUGAUCAAAAUAUUAAUGCAAUUAAGAUAUUUGAAUAAAAUACCUCAUUAAUUUUAUUAGUCAGAAAAAAUGUUUAUUAUAAUUAAAUAAACACAUAUACUUUUAAAGAGUAUAUUUUCCCAACAGUUUCUUCAGUUGGUUAUUUCACUUAGUCAAAAUAAAUUAUAGUAGUGGUUGCAUACCUGACUUUGGAGGUAAGGCUGGAGGCAAACUUCUACAUUAAUUUAUAACUUGUUUCACAACAUAUUACGGUUAUAAAUGAGACUUAAUCCAAAGACGGAAAGAGAGAAAUUUGCUACACUCUUUAGUAUCCAUUAUUGAGAAAAACACCAAAAUUAACUUUUACUUCUUUAAAAUCAUUUUUGAAACCUCCCAAAAGAUAUCUCAAAUGGGUUCUCAAUUUUUUAAAACAUUACUUUUGGCUAAACACCCCAUCCUCCAGUAGAUUUUGAAAAUGUCAAAAUGUAUAAGACACUCAUCCAGUGGGGGUUUCACAGGCUUACCUCUCUUAGAAGUCUUUGCAUUCUUGGAUGUCAUGAAGCAGAGUGUUUUCCAGACGAGAAGAUAGGAAUGACGCUGCCCAAUUCUUUAACUUGUCUGUCCUUUCGAGGAUUCAAAAACACAUUUAAGAAAUUGGCAAUUUGUUGUUAGUCACAGUAUCUGAUGUUCUUUUCUUUUAUAGUUUGCAGAAUCAACUGUAUUAUAUGUUGUCAUUUGCAGUAUCUGAGGUGCCUUUUGCAUUUUACUUGACCUUUAUUUGUUUUGCUAGUGACUGAAGAAUACCAACAUUGGUUAGAGAUUUGGAGAAGCAUCUGAAGAGGCUUGACAAAGUUGGAGAUGCACUUGCUCCCAAGCCUUCAAUCAUCACAAUGCAAAUCCGAUGAGUACUUAUGCCGGCAAUUAUGUAAAAUAUUUGAAAUUUUGAUUCAGGGAAAUGGUUUGUUGAUGCAAAGCUUUAAACUGUUAAGACUUACCUAGCAGGCCUGUUGGAUGUUGUAUCAACUCCAAAAUCCAACAAGAACUACGGCACCAAGACCCAUUUUUUACUGAUUCAAUCAGCUGAAAUGAUGAGGCAAAUCCCACGUGUUCGAAUCAGUCAUCCAUUUCAUGAACUGUUAUUUUCAUGAUGCUGGCUAUUGGAGUUGAAGAGGAAACAAGGAUGUGUUGGAAUCAAUGAGAACAGUGGGAAGCAUGACUCGAGCUCUGAUUAUAAAUAGACAUUUUAAAAACAUGUGCUGGUAAGUGGUGAUUAAAGAAAUUUGUGAGCUUAUUCAAGUUUCAGUAUUUGCUGUUUGGAUAAAGCUGAUACCAAGUUUGGCAAAAUCUGUGCUUUCUUUGUUCAAUCUGUGUUAUGGUUAAAGUAGAUGCUCUGAUUAAUAAGCCAGCCUACGAUAGCUGGCUCUAAUAAUCGGCUUCCUUUUUCUUGUUUGCUGUUGUAUAUUCUUUCAAUUUUUUUUCCGCAUUAGGACGAUCAGUUGAAGAACAAGUUUAUGUUUGACGAUGCAUUUAAGGAAGAGCCAGACUUGGAUGCAGAUCUGAAAAGGUUAGCAUGAACGAAAACCUUCAGAACUGACUGAAGGUUUCUGAGUUGAUCCUAAAAAUGUAGCAGUUGUCUGUUUCAUAAAGCAGAACAAAAACAGAAUAAGAGAUCACUAAUCAUGCUUGAGAAUUCAUUUAAAUAAAAUUUCAAAAAUUGCCAAACACAGCAUAAACUAGGAUGCACUUGCUUAAGAUUCAUUUUCAGAAGGAAGUUUGUACUUGCAGCUCAUAAAAUCAUGUUUAUGUUGUAUGUUUAUUCAGCAAAUGAAAGAUUCCAAGUUUGCUGAAACCAUAUUAUUUUUUUACCAGGCGCCUUCCUGAAGGUAUCGACGUCAAUUUCAAAAAUGUUGGGGAUAAGUUGCUUGAUGCAGUGCUACACAAAUAUGAAGGAUUUCUUGUCGGUGAUUACUACCACCUCGAUAAAAAAAUUCAUGGAACUGGUCAUGCCGGCAAUAAAAGAAGGAAAGGUGGUAUACGUCGAAGACAUAGAUGAAGGCCUCGAGUCCAUCAGCCCUCGUUGGGCUAUUCACUUGUCGGAAUGUCAGGAAACAACUUGUUGAAGUUGCGUGGGAAUUUUAAAACUACCAUAUGUUGUAGAAAUGCACUGAGCCAUGUGCUUUCAGAGCUUUGUGAAGAUGUCUUGGCCAUGUGUUUGAUACAGGUUAUGCUUGUUCCAUUAAAUUGUAUGCACUUAUAAAUCAAAGAUUCAGAACAUGUGUAUGUUACUGGUUUCCAGAAUCCAGAUCAAUAAAUGCCUCCAUGUAGAAGUUCAAAUUUUAAAUUUUUUGAAGUAGAGGUGUAGAGUUUCUUUUUUCAAAAAAGAAAAAGUAAAUUCUGAAGACUUUCUUUAUUUAAUUUUACAAUCUUAUUUUAUUUCUUUUACGAUAUAUUUUUAAAAUACUUAUUUAGUAAAUUAUUAACAUCUAUACCACUAAAAGAUUUUUUUUGUUAAACGCUCUACUUACAAAGUUAUAUUAAUUAUAGAUUUACUCAAAGAAGCCCUAUUUAAAAAGUUACAGCAAAAAAAGUCAUAGUUACCUUUAGUAAAUAAUAAUCUUCUAAUCUGUCUUACAACGGACUUUUGACAAAAGUGUGCUACUCCCACCUCCUCAAAGUCCACCCGACACCCCGUCUUCUCUAUUUAAAAUUUUAUAUAGUUGAAAAUUAUAUUUUCUUUUACUUGACGCCCCUCCAAAUUCUAAAACUUAGCUUCGAUGAACCUUCUUCGUUAAAUCUCGUUGCUUUCCUUUUUUCUUGUUACUUGAGAAGAAGAACCAGAGUCUAGAAGAAUGAAAGAAAAUUCAGCGUGAUAGAAAUUUAGAAAUUUCAUCCGAUCUUUUUUUCUUAAAUUUUUUGGUAUUUUGAUUCGUUCAAUGGAUUCUUGAUCAUUCUUCAUUCUUUCUAGUUUCUACCAUGAUUCGGAAAUUUUUCUUAAAAAAACUACUACUCUUGUGUAUUUAAAAAAAAAGGAAAGAAAGAAAAAAGGCAUUAAUAAAGAAUUGCGCACGUAACAUUAUUAGUACCCUGUUGAUUGGUCGUUUGGUCUUCAAGAAAUGCUAGUUAAUAUGUGCUUGAAAUUAUAUUCUGCUUUUUUUUUCCCUAUGUAUUGUUUCCCGUUUGAUUACAUUUCAAACAUUUUUAACACGAAUGAAUGUUUUAACCAUUUUUGUCACUUCAUUAUUACAAUAAGCUGAUUGAAGUUAUCUGCGUUGGCCCUGAAAAUGUAAUGGACACUACUCCGUUUACAUAAAACAGGACAAAACAUCGAUAUUUCUACCAUUGCCAUACAUAGUAUAGCCUAGGAAUACAUUUCCAUAAUUAAUAUUUAUUUCAGAAGGAACUUUUCACUUGCAGCUAACAGAAUCAUGUUAAAUUUAUGAUGUAUGUUUAUUUGGGAGAUGAAAGAUUCGCUGCAUUAUUUUAUUCCAAGUUUGCUGAAAUCAUAUUUGUUUUCCCGGCUGCUUUCCUGAAUGUAUCGACAUCUAUUUCGAAAAUGUCGGGGGUAAGAUGCUUGGUGCAGUGCUACUCAACAUGAGAAUUCAUCUUCUAACUCGUUACCUGAUAUUAUUGUCUUCUUGAAAAUUUAAUUAAGCUUAGAAGUCCCUUAACCACAAAAUCAAUGGAGUUUAACUCUAUCGAUAGACAACUUUUAAGUAAUAAACCAACACAUGAGUUCAUCUCUAUUGAUACUCAAGUUCUAAGUCCCUUAUUCAAUACUAAAAUCCAUGAGAAUUAAACUAACCGUAGUUUAACAUGUGAUUAACAAAUGGUAAAAGGUUCAAAAAAUACAUCAAUUAUAAAAGAAAUAAAAUCAGCAAAGAGACCACAUCAGAAAUUUCUUAGAUGUCCGAAACUAUUAAAAGAAUUCACAUACCAAAUCAAAAAAAGUAGAAAAUGCUUAAGCUCCUUAAGGUAAUUUGAAGUAUGAAAGUGAAUGGCAUAUAAUCCAAUAUAAAAAAAAAAUGGUUUUAGUGCCGUAUAAAGAGAAGUUAAUGGUGGUUACAGAAGUGGGGAAAGUUGAGUACAAAUCAGAUAAUGGGAGGUUCCUAAACUUCCUUAAAUCAAUUUUAAUUUCAAAAAUAAAAUAAUAAAAAAUAAAAAAUAGCAUAAAAGAAAUAAGAUAAAAAUUACUUUUCUAAAAUUGCAUGCAAGUAUACAAAAAUAACAUAUGUUGAUAUUACAUCGAGAAAGGUCCAUCAGCCCUAGUUGGGCUAUUCACUGCAUAGAAUGUCGGAGAACAACUUGUUGUGGUAGCUGUUGGGAAAAUAUGCUCUUUAAAAGCAUGUGUGUUUAUUUAAAUGUAAUAAACAUUUUUUCUGAUUAAUAAAAAUAAUGAGGUAUUUUGUGCAAAUAUCUUAAUUGCAUUAAUAUUUUUAUUAAAGUCCAUUUAAUCAUAUUAUAUGUAUUUAUGUGAUCACCAUGUGGAUUCACAGAAGACAUAAAAUACAAGUUAUCUUAUGAUUAAAUAAAUUUAGUUCGCAGUUGAUAAAUAAAGUUGUGCACUUUAUUUAGGUAUAGAUUGUAAUAAAUUCAUUGAAUGAUUUGUCUUAAUCAUGUAUGAAUUUAUUGAUGUAGUACGACUACAUUGAACAGGAUCACAUAUGAGAUUUAAUUAACCUUGAAAUGACUGUCAGACUUAUUAAAUCUCAUUGGCAUUGAUUUUACUGUAAUCUUAAUCUUGAGUUAGUUAUGAUUUCAUGAUUGUAAUUGUUAUUCCAUUUGAGUUACCAAUGGGCAUGACACAUACAUGUAGUCUAGAUUACUCGGUAUCUUGGUGGGAGCAUUUAUGAGUAUUGGAGUUAUAGAUUAACAAUAUAGAAUUUGUACAACACAUCUCUUGAUGGGUUUUCGGCACUUGAUCAUAGAAUUCUCUAGCCAGAGUGUGUCAACAUAUUUAGUAUGUUGAAAAUGAUCAUUAGAGAAAACCAGUAAAGAUCAAGGAAUAAGAUGUUAUUAAAUUGAUUGGACAGUUGAGAUAUCAAUUUAAUUAACGAUGUGGUACAAAGGAUUGUGCAGUAAAGAAAUCAAUGUGGCUUGGGACGAAUUAUUAUUCGAGCAUACAAUUAUGGAAGUCAGUUCCAAUCUUUUAGUGGAGUAGAUUUGGAAUUAAAUAAUUGGGCUAGUUUAAUUAUAGGCCUAAUUAUUGUAGCCACUAUUGUAUGUUCCCAAAUGAUCCCCGGGUUAGCUCAUUUAAUUGACUGCACCACUACUGGACUAAUAAGCAAGAUAACUAGCUAUUUGGGUCAAAAGCCUAAAUAUAUCAUUUAGUGGGAGGCUCCAUUUAAUUAGUUUAUGUGUAAGGGGUCUUAUGUUAUUUUACAUGGUGGGUCCCCUAUAAAAUAAAAAGUAACGUGAGUUUUAUUUGUGAGCCUAGGGUUUUCACUAAAGGGAGAUAUAUAAGGCUUAUUUUCUCUAAAGAAAAAGGUGAAGCCACUUUAUACAGAUCAGAGAAUAAGAUUUUUCUCUCUAUUGUUGAGAGAAAAAUUUUCUCGUGCUAGUUGCUUUGGUAGUGAUAAAGGCGCCCACACGUCAAGUGCAGAUCGUACUUGAGUCAUAACCUGGAAGAUCAUUGGUGACAGUUCGUGAUCUAACAAGCGUGGUGGUGACGGAUCGUGAUCUAACAGGAGUGGUGGUGGCGGAUCAUGAUCUAGGAGCUUAAAUCACUUCAGCGGAAAAAGCUAACUCGGAUUUUCAAGGUACGAUUUCUAGAAUACAAAUUCUUAUAUAUUAUAUGAGAGCGAUCUUCAAAAGGUUUUAUAAAAAAUUUAAAAACCUAAUUUUUCCCCAACAAUUGGUAUCAGAGCCAUCUCAUAUUAAUAUAUAAGAAUUUCGUAUGAAAUUAAUCUUGAUAUUUAUGUAUUAGAGUGGCACAAUUUAUUCAGAUAUAUAUUAUUUGUUUAAUAUAUGAAUAAAGCAUGUUUAUGGUUUGUCUUAAUUCAUGGUUAGAUUUUCUGUUGUAUUUUUCGUUUGGAUCUUUAACAAGAGGGGUGGUUUUUAUCACAAUGUUUCCCUCUUGAUUUAUUUUACUGUUAUAGAAUUUUUGUAAGCCAAAAAUUGGCCUAGGAAAUUUGUAAAUAAAUCACGGAUGACAAAUCAAAGCGACGGAGGCCGGAAAUUUCGACAUCGACCGCUGACCAGCGCACUCGCUACAACCAACGAGCGGCACACGCUGCAAGCGCAUGCUGGCAGUGCGCGCAGCAAGCAGCGCGCGCGGCCAGCCUGGCCAGCGGCGCGCGUUCCAGCAAGCAGCGCGCGCAGGGAUGGUUUGUUUCCGGCAUAUCGGCAACGGCAAACUCGACGUUGAUAGCGGCUGUCCGAUGAGAUUGGCCUGAACAGUGGCCGUUUGUGGAGAUGGCGACUGGGGAAGAAGAAAGAAAGAAAAAUAUGGAUUUAGGGUUUCAUGGCUUUUAUCAUGGAGAUCCCUAUGGUUCCAUAAUUUUUCACUUGGGCAAUUAAGUUUUAAUUUUUUGCAUUUAAGUCUAAAAAUAGUUUUCGGCUUAAAGAAUCCUAGUUUUAGGUCCAAUUGAAAUUUGGGCUUAAUGGAUUAAAAAUGCAUAGAUAAAAUUAAAUACAUUAAAAUUUAUUUUUGGUCCAAAAGUUUUAUUUUAAUAAAAAAAAUUAUUUAUUUAUUUAUUUCCUUUAAAAAUUAAAAUUGGACCAAUUAGAAAUUAUUUAUUUAUCUCUCAUUUGUACUUGGGAGACAGUCUAUUGUAAGUAGUGUGUAUUUUUGCAUGUCUAGGAAAGUUCUGUCAACAAAGGCGAUAAGUGUAUAAGGAUUCUGGUUUUUAAUUGGGACCAAGUUCCCAUCUAGUUUCCUGGAAACUUUCUUGGUGCAUUUAUUCACGCGAAAUUAACAUCAUAGAGACUGUUUUUCAAGUGAAAAUAGUUCGUUGAGAAAAUGGUAGAAGGUGAAACUUUCAAAAUUGGGGAGAGAUCUACCGAGACUAUUUCAGGAGACACUUCAGGUGGGAGGCGAGAUUUGUCAAAUCGCUAUUCAGCACCUGUAUAGAAGGCCAGAAGAUCGAUGUUGAAAAGUUUGAUGGGAAAAUCAACUUCGGCAUGUGGAGGCGCGAAGUUAUGGAUGCCCUUAUUCAAAUCGAUCUCGAUGUUGUUCUGAAAAAUAAAAGACACUUGUAUGAUGAAGAAAUUUGGGAUCGUAUGAAUGAAAAAGCAUGUGGUCAGAUCAGAUCUUGUUUGACCAAGGAGGUGAAAUACUUGGUGAAAGAUGAGGAGUGUGCGGUGACUUUGUGGCGUACAUUGGAGGAGAAGUACCUGGUGAAAAGUCCUGAAAAUCGCCUUCAUGCAAUGAGCCAAGUAUAUGGCUUUCGAAUAAAGUCUGGGGUGUCAAUGCACGAUCAUGUUUUAAGAUUUGAAAAGUUACUUGCUGAUUUGAAGAAUCUUGAUGAAGAUAUUAAGGAUGAAGUCAAGGCUAUGAUUCUGUUACACUCACUACCAGAGGAAUAUAGCCAUUUUGUGACUACUUUAAUAUAUGGGAAGAGUGUGAUCAUCUUUAAAGAUGUUUGCACAACAUUGACUAGCUUAGAGAUUCGAAAUAAUGAUAAAAAUUCUAAACGAGCAUCGUCUGAAGCUUUGGUGAGUAGAGAUUGGGCGAUGGAGAAACAAAAGAAGCGUGGUGGAAAGAAUUCUCGAUCCAAAUUGAAAAGCAGAAAUAUAGCUCGAGAUGAGUGUGCCUUUUGUCAUGAAAAGGGCCAUUGGAGGAAAGAUUGUCCAAAGGCUCAAAAGAGAGAUGGGAAGAAACCAGCAGCAGCAAACAUGGCACGGAAAGAUGAGGGCUCUGAUUAUUCACUAAGUAUUACUCUUGCAGCAUACGUGGCUAGUUCGAGUGAGUGGAUACUUGAUACUGGAGUGGUUUACGGAUUUUUAUCAUUUGUGUCCUAUUAAGGAAUGAUUUACGGAUUUUCGUAAUCUGGAAUCCGGUGCAGUUGUGAUGGGGAAUGAUCAACCUUGUCGCACAAUGGGGAUAGGAACAAUUCGGCUCAAAAUGUUUGAUGAAAUGAUCAGAGAACUCAAAGAGGUUAGAUUUGUUCUAGCUUUAAAGAAAAAUCUAAUUUCUGUGGAUUUCUGUGGGUGCUUUGGAAGCUAAAGGCUACAAGGUUACCAUUGAAGAUGGUAUAAUGAAGUUUACACAUGGGGCUAUGGUGAUUCUGCAAGGGGUUCGGUGUCACAAUCUGUACUAUUUGAAGGGAGGUACAACUGAUGAAGCAAAUGUUGUUAAGGCGCACAGUGACACCACCAAGCUAUGGCAUGUACGAUUGGGACAUGCUGGAGAGAAGUCUUUGCAAACUCUGAUGAGGCAUGGACUCUUAAAAGGUACCAAAACCUGUAAAUUAAAUUUCUGUGAGCAUUGUGUAGUAGGCAAGAAAACAAGGGUCAAGUUUGGUAUAGUUAAUCACGAUACUCGUGAGAUUCUUGAAUAUGUUCAUAGUGAUGUAUGGGGACCAACCAAGACUGCAUCAAUUGGUGGAAGCCAUUACUUUGUUACAUCUAUUGAUGAUUUCUCUAGACGUGUGUGGGUGUACACCAUGCGAGCAAAGGAUGAGGUUCUAGAGAUUUUCGUGAAAUGGAAGAAAUUGGUGGAGACUCAAACUGGCAGAAAGAUCAAAGUAUUACGAUCUGAUAAUGGGGGUGAAUAUACUUCUGAUCCAUUCUUACAAGUAUGCCAGAACGAGGGUAUUAAAAGACAUUUCACGGUGAGACAUACUCCGCAACAGAACGGUGUGGUUGAGCGUAUGAAUCGUACUUUACUGGAGAAGAUACGGUGUAUGUUAUCUAAUGCUGGUUUAGAUAAAAAGUUUUGGGCUGAAGCUGUGAGCUACGCAAGUCACUUGGUAAACCGGUUGCCUUCUGCUGCAAUUGGAGGUAAAACUCCUAUGGAAAUGUGGUCUGGAAAGCAUGCACAAGACUAUGAUUCCCUUCGUGUAUUCGGGUGUUCAGCUAAUCAUCAUGUCAAAGAUGGUAAACUGGAUCCUCGUGCUAGAAAAGCUAUCUUUGUGGGAUUCAAAGGUGGAGUAAAGGGCUUUAAGCUUUGGGAUCUCGAAGACAAAAAGUUUGUGUGUAGCAGAGAUGUCACAUUUGAUGAAGCUUCAAUGAUGAAAGCGUCAAGUUCUCAGCAGGUGGAGAACAAGACCAAAAAGGUAUUGCAGCGGGUGGAGUUUGAUGCAACUCCAUAUGUACCAGUUAGUUCUACAUCAAAUAAGAGUUCAACUAUGGAGGUGACACCUAGAGUUGAAGAAGAGGUCAUUUUUUCUGAUGUCUCACAAAAUGAAGAAACAAUUGAUGAUGUAGAUAAUGAUGAUUUUAUAGCAACAAGGAGGCCAAGAAGAGAGAUAAAGAAACAGGGAUGGCUUACUAAAGAUAUGGUGGUAGCAUAUGCACUUCCAGUUAUUGAUGAUGACAUCCCCAACACUUUUUGUGAAGCAUUACGCAGCAGUGAAAGUGAUCAGUAGAAGUUAGCCAUGGAGGAAGAGAUGAAAUCUCUCCAUCAAAACCAGACUUGGGAACUUGUAAAGUUACUAAAUGGGAAAAGGGCUAUUGGUAAUAAAUGGGUCUACACCACAAAGCAAGGAUCUCCGAAUCAAACAACUCCUCGAUACAAGGCAAGGCUCGUGGCAAAAGGUUUUGCUCAAAAGGAAGGUAUUGACUACAAUGAAGUUUUCUCCCCAGUUGUAAAACAUACUUUCAUUCGUAUCCUACUUGCCGUCGUUGCAGAAUAUGAGUUAGAGUUGGCUCAAUUGGAUGUUACGACGGCGUUCUUACAUGGAGAUUUGGAAGAGGAAAUCUAUAUGAUUCAGCCUUGUGGUUUCAAAGUUGCUGCAAAGGAGAAUCAUGUGUGUAGGUUGAUUAAAUCUUUGUACGGACUGAAGCAAUUGCCAAGGCAGUGGUACAAAAGAUUUGAUCAAUUUAUACAAGGGCAGAAAUUCACCAGAAGUGAACACGAUCAUUGUGAUUACUUUAGAAGACUACCAGAUGGAGCUUUCAUCUAUUUGUUACUCUAUGUCGAUGAUAUGCUUAUAGCUUCGAAGAAUAGAGAUGAGAUCGAAAGAUUAAAGAAGCAGCUGGCUUCUGAGUUCGAGAUGAAAGACUUGGGUGAUGCACAGAGAAUACUUGGGAUGGAGAUUCGUAGAGACAAGAAGAAUGGGAGCGUAUGAUUGACUCAAAAGUCUUAUUUGAAGAAAGUGCUAGAAAGAUUCAGUAUGGAUGACAAAACUAAACCGGUAUGUACACCUCUAGCUCCUCAUUUCAAAUUAAGCUCUUCUUCAUGUCCUAGAUCUCAAGAAGAGCGCGAUUACAUGGCUCGUGUUCCAUAUGCUAGUGCUGUGGGUAGUCUUAUGUAUGCUAUUGUAUUCACAAGGCCCGAUAUAUCUCAAGCAGUGAGCAUGGUUAGUAGAUACAUGCACAAUCCGGGUAAAAAUCAAUGGCUUGCGGUAAAGUGGAUUCUCCGAUAUUUGUAUGGGACAGUUGAUGUUGGGUUAUUAUUCAAGAAAGAUUGUGGUCAACAAUGUGUUGGGUAUUGUGAUUCUGAUUUCGCUGGAGACCUUAACAAGAGAAGAUCAACAACGGGCUACGUAUUCACAUUGGGUGGAGGUCCGGUUAGCUGGAGAUCGAUUCUACAAUCGACAAUUGCUCUAUCCACUAUGGAAGCAGAGUAUAUGGCAGCAAUUGAAGCUGUAAAAGAAGCUAUCUGGUUGAAAGGCUUGUUAGGUGAUUUGGGAGUAAUCCAGGAGAACAUUACGAUCUUCUGUGAUAAUCAAAGUGCGAUAUUCCUUGCAAAGAAUCAAACAUAUCACGCUCAGAUGAAGCACAUAGAUGUGAAAUAUCAUUAUGUGAGGGAGAUUAUCGAGAGCGGUGUUGUGUUGUUGAGAAAGAUCGAUACCAAAGAUAAUCCAUCAUAUAUGUUAAUGAAGGUAGUUUCUGGAGUUAAGUUUCAACAUUGCUUGAAACUAAUUCAAAUCCUUCGAUUGUGUUAAGAUAUGUCCUUCGGAAAUUUUGAACUACGGUUGGCUUGAUCCCAAAUUUUGGGUACGUUUGGCAGUCACAGAGAUACAGCCACUUUGCGGAUGAUGAUUGGUUGGGAGUCGGCUCAGAUUUGAACAAACCUUCGCCGAGGUGGAGAAUUGUUGAAAAGUCAAAGAAUUGCUUGCCAAUUUCAAAAGCAAAGUUGGUGGGUUUGCCAAAUUCAAAAAAACAAAGUUGGCCGGCUUGCUAAUUUCAAAAGGCAAAGUUAGGUGUUGAAAAACUUGUACAUGCAAUAUAAGAUCCAGCUCAACGUUUUGACCAAAUGAACCCAACUUGGAGCAGAAUGCACUCUAUAAAUAGAGAAGCAUUUUGCAAUUGUCAAUCAUCCCAACAAUUUGUUAAGCUUAUAAAUUUCUAAGCUUUUGAGAGUUCUAAGAGUGUGAAUAAUUGGAGAGUGUGUGUGAGAGUACUUGGUAUAUUUGGGUUCUGGGAAAGUGAGAUUUCUUUACUCAAAUAAUUAUUAAUAAUAUAAUUAUUUUUCUCUUGCUUCCGUGGACAUAGGCAUAUUGUCGAACCACGUAAAUUUUGUGUCCUUUAUUUUUCAGUAAUUAUUUGGUGUGUUUGAUUCCGCAUUCCGCGCACAACACCUACAGGUGACUAAUUAAUGGGAAAUUGACAAUGACAAAAGCAAUUUAUGAGUUUUGUAGGCUGGCAUGCCUAUGUUAUAGCAUUGUUCGAUGAACUGCCACACCACAUGUUUUUGACGAGAAAUAAAAACAUCAAGAUAUUGCCCGCUUGCCGUAUUCCACAUCGUGAAUUGUAUCUCUGUUCCUCAAUUUUCAGUGUUCCAUACAUAAAACCAUUUUCAGUUUCUCUUGUUAUCAAUUCAAUUUUCUUGUUCGUGACGAUCUUGAUUCCUUUCUUUCUGGUAAAACGGAGCCAUGUUUGCUGUUGGAGAGGUCUUCCUCAACGCUUUCUUUCAGGUGUUGUUUGACAGGUUGGCUUCUCGUAAUUUGCUCAGCUUUGUGCGUCAACUCCAAGGCGGGGUUGAUUCGGAGCUCAAAAAGUGGGAGAAAAAGCUGAAGAUGAUUCAGGUUGUGCUUAGCGAUGCAGAGGAGAAGCAACUGACUGACGAGGCUGUGAAGAUGUGGCUGGACGAACUCCAAGACUUGGCUUAUGACGCUGAGGACAUUCUUGAUGAGUUUGGUACUCAAGCUUUGGAAAGGAAGUUGAUGGCGAAAAAUCAGGAUAGCACUGGCCAGAUUCUUAGUUUCAUACCGGCUAGUUUGAAUCCGAAUGCUAUUAUGUCCAAUUAUAGCAUGGGAUCCAAGAUUAAAGAUAUUACUAGCCGGUUGGAGCAACUCUGCCAAUAUAGAAUUGAACUUGGGCUGCAACGGAUUGCUGGAGGGGCAUCAUCACCUACUGCUGCUGCACACCAGAGGCCACCCAGUUCAAGUAUCACAACAGAGCGUGAAGUAUUCGGAAGAGAAGAAGAUAAGGCCAAAAUUCUUGAUAUGGUAUUGACCGAUAUUAGAAUUCGUAAUAAGAUGUUUGGAAACAAAGAAAAACAGAGAAAAUGAAAAAGGAAACUUCACGAUUUAUUAACCAGAAUAUUCAAUGCUUAUUAAGCUUACUUAGCUAAGCUUAUAUACAAUUAUUCUAACUAAUUAAACAACUGCAAAACAACUAAUAACAACUUCAGAUUUAGUUUAGCCAUUGAGCUCUUGCCACAUGUCAUUCAGUUACAUUCAAUCUUGUCCAGCUCAGCAGCUCUGUCCAGCUCAGCAGCAACUAUAUCUUCAACAUCCCCCCUCAAGCUCAACCGAGGAAGUAAGGUUGAGCUUGUCACGUAAGUAGAGAAAAGGGUGAUAAGAAAGAGCUUUGGUGAGAAUAUCAGCAGUUUGUUCUGAGCUAGAAAUAUAUUGAACCUUAAGACAUUGAGCAGCAACUUUCUCUCGAACAAAAUGAACAUCUAAUUCAAUGUGUUUUGUUCUGGAAUGAAACUUAGGAUUAGAGGCUAAAGCAGCUGCACUUUGAUUAUCACACCAUAUGAUUGGAAUGGAGGGAAGAGUAAGACCAAUCUCAGCAAGAAGAGAACGAAUCCACAAGACUUCAGCUGCUGCCAUUGCUAGUGCUCGAUAUUCAGACUCAGCACUAGAUCGAGAGACCACUGCCUGUUUCUUAGAGCACCAAGACACUAGAUUUGGACCCAUAUAGACACAAUAACCAGCCACUGACCUCCUAUCAUCUCUGUCUCCAGCCCAAUCAGCAUCACUGAAACAAUCAAUCUGUAUGCUGCCAUGAUUGUAGAACUGUAAACCAAGAUUAACAGUACCCUUCAGAUAUCGUAAAACCCUUUUACAAGCCUGCCAAUGAUUGACAGUUGGAGAAGAUAGAAACUGACUGAGCUUGUUGACAGAGAAAGCAAUCUCUGGUCUGGUCAAUGUUGCAUACUGAAGAGCACCUAUGGUGCUUCUGUAUAGAGUAACAUCAGAAAAGGGUUCACUAUCAGCUUUAGUAAAAGCCACUCCAGAAAGCAUAGGAGUAGAACAAGGAGUACUAUCCUGCAUGUGCACCUUGGCAAGCAAAUCAGUGAUAUACUUGGAUUGAGAAAGAUGAAUACCAGAUUUAUUGUAAAUGACCUGAACUCCCAGAAAAUAAUUCAAUGCACCAAGAUCUUUAAGUGCAAAAACAGACUGGAAGUUGGUGAUGGUCUGCUGAACAAGCUGAGGAUUGGAGCCUGUAAUAAUAAUAUCAUCUACAUACACCAAGACAAGUAGCAGAUGACCUUGUGUGCUCUUAAAGAAGAGUGAAGUGUCUGAAAUAGAAUUUGUAAAGCCCCACUGAGUUGUAAGAACUAGUUUGAGUCUGUCAAACCAUGCCCUUGGAGCCUGUUUAAGGCCAUAAAGAGCUUUGUGCAGCUUACAGACAUAAUCAGGCCUGGAACUAUCUAUAAACCCCUCAGGCUGUUGCAUAUAAACUUCUUCAGUGAGGUAGCCAUUAAGGAAGGCAUUAUUAAUGUCUAUUUGCCUCAGUACCCAAUGAUUCAUGACAGCCAUACUCAAGAUAAUUCUGAUGGUUGAAGACUUAAUGACAGGACUGAAUGUUUCAUGAAAAUCCAGCCCUUGAGUUUGGUGAAAUCCCUUAGCAACAAGUCUAGCUUUGUAUCUAGAGACACUGCCAUCAGGAUUAUAUUUAAUCCGAAAUACCCACUUAUUCCCAAUUACUUUAAUGGGAUGUGUAGGUUUGACAAGAGUCCAGGUAUGAUUAUUGACUAAGGCUUGAUAUUCAUCUGUCAUUGCUUUAUGCCAAGCUGAAUCUUGAAGGGCUUUUAAGGUAGUAGCAGGUUCUGUAGGUUUGGUAGGAUUGGCUGUAAUAUAGGCUUUAGGUUUGAAGAUACCAGCCUUUGAUCGAGUGAGCAUUGGAUGACCAGUAGAUGACUGCAAUGGUGGAGUUAAAUGAUGAACAGGUGAGGUAGAUGGUUCUGAGUGUGAUUGUAUAGAAGAUUGAGAAGGAGAGUCUGGAGAGGAUUGAGAGAACCUGAGAUCAGCUGCUGUAGAGGAUGAAGACUUGGUUAUAUCAAGUUGAAUCAAAGGACAAACAGAAGAUGAACAAUGUGAAGAAGACUGAGAUGAAUGAUCUGAAGAAGAGCAAGAGUGACUGACAGAGGAAAAAUCAACUCCUGACUGAAAAGGAAAACAUGACUCAUCAAAUGUAACAUGGUUACUGACAUAGAUUCUACCAGAGGAAUGAAGACACAAGUAGCCUUUGUGAAGGGAGCUGUAACCAAGAAAAAUACAUCUAGCAGUUCGAAACUCUAACUUAUGAUGAUUAUAAGGCCUCAGAUAUGGGAAACAAGCACAUCCAAAAACUCUCAUAACAGAAUAAUCUGGUCUUUUGUUGAAUAAUUUUUCAAAAGGUGAUUUGUUAUCCAGAAUGGGUGUAGGGAGCCUAUUUAUGAGAAAUGUGGCAGUAUGGAAAGCAUUCCACCAAAAUUUCAGUGGUAAAUGUGCUUGAGCAAGAAGGGUAAGGCCUGUUUCCACUAUAUGUCUAUGUUUGCGUUCAAUCUUUCCAUUUUGAUGGUGAAUAUAAGGACAAGGAUGUCUAAAUUGGAUUCCCUGCUCAGCAAGAUAAGGAAGAAAUGGCCUAAAUUCACCUCCCCAAUCUGUUUGAAGACACUUGAUUUUCCUAUUUAGGCAUUUUUCUAUCAUAUGCUGGAAUUCAAUAAAGGUUUGUAAGGCUUGAGAUUUGGUAACAAGAGGGAAUAUCCAGGUGAACCUAGUGAAAUCAUCUAAGAUGGAAAGAUAGUAGUGAUAGCCUUGAGAGGACAGCAAAGGAGCUGGACCCCAUAGAUCAGCAUGCAACAGCUCCAGUGGUUGAAUGGUAGUGGUGUCUAUAGAAGGAAAAUGCUGCAUGUGACACUUUCCAAAUUGGCAAGCAUUACAAAAAAUUGGUUUCAGGGCUCUAUUGAUAUCGAGAGAAGGAUGCAAAUGCUUCACAAUUUGUUUAAGAGCAUGCACAGUUGGAUGACCCAUUCUUUUAUGUAAAACAUUGUAAUCAACUGAUUUUGAAUGAGUAACAGACAAGGCCAUUGAGGCAUCAUUAUUGAAUUGAGAAAUAUUUACAUCUGUCAAAAUUUCUCCAGAAUGUAUAGAGUUUGAAACAUUGGAAUGACUAAUCAUUGACACUGGAGAGGAACAGACAUUUGACACAGAACUGGAAUUUGAGAUGACACAGAAAACAUUAGACGGAACUCUAUUUGAAACUGCAGCAUGAGACACUACAACAGGACCUUCAACUUGAUAUAAUCCUCCUCUAGCAAUCCCCUUGAGCAAGAUGAUCCCUGAUUUCUUGUCCUUGACAAAACAGGAGGUUUUAUGGAAUUCAACAACAACAUCAUUGUCAGCAAGUAAUUUAGAUACACUUAAAAGGUUUUUGGUUAUAGUUGGGACAUGCAAAAUAUUAUUAAGAUAGAUAGAUGUUGCAGCAAGUGUAUUCAAUCGUGUGCACCCAACAUGUUUAAUAUGUAAUCCCAUGCCAUUUCCUACAUGUAGCUUAUCAAAACCAUGAUAAACUGAGUAAGAAGAAAAGAUACCUGCUUCCUUAGUCACAUGAUUGGUUGCCCCGGAGUCAAUAUACCAAGCAGGAUCAGCUACAACUCCAUAAUCAGCAACUGGACCAGUGGGAGCAAAUUGUGCAGUGGGAAUAGCAGAAGGAGCAACUCCAUAGUUAGCAAAUGGAGUAGCAAUUGCACCAUUGUAUUGACCUUGUAAUCCUUGAAACACAAGAAACCCUUGAGGAUACAUAACAUUUGCAUUCUGAUAUGCAACAUUCCCUUGAAACAUGGGUGCAUUAUAUCUAGGAGCACCAGUUGCAGUUCCAUAAAAAUUUCCAUAACCUCUUCCAAACAUGUUCUGAGGCUGACCAGGAAAGCCUCUAAAAUUGAAUCCACCUCUAGGCCUAAAGCCACCUCUUCCUUGUCUAGGAAUAAAGUUCUGAUUAAAUCUGUUCCUGCAUUUGUAUGCUCCAUGACCAGGUAUGAAGCAUAUUUGACAAAUUACUUCCUUAUCAACAUUAUAUCCUCCUUUGCCAUUAUCAAAAUUUCCACCAUUAAAACCUCUCUGAUUAGCAUUAUUGAACUUAUUGUAAUUCUGUCCUUUCUGAGCAAAAUUAGCUGACAUAUCAUGCAACAAUUCAUUUUGCACCUUUCCCUUACUCAUCUCAACCCUAGUUUCAUGACUAAGCAUUAAGGAAUACACUUCUUCAAUAGUGAGAUUAUCUUUUUCCAGCCUAGCAAGUAUAGUUGUCACUAAUGACUCAUAGUUGUCAUCUAAACCAGUGAGCAAAUGCAUUAUAAAAUCUGUUGAAGCAAGAGGAUUACCACCAAUAGCUAAGCUAUCUGCAAUUUUUUUCAUCUUAUUGAAGUAAUCACUUACUGACAUAGCUCCUUUCUUUGUGGUUUGAAUCUGCAUUUUCAGAGGCAUGUAUCUAGCCUUUGACUGUGACAUGAACAUCUCGGCAAGUUUCUCCCAGAUCUCAAGUGAAGUAUCACAAUCCACAACCAUGAUAAGUACAUUGUCUACCAUAGAUGACAGCAUCCAGCUCUGUAGAAGCUUGUCAGCUUUCUUCCAGUCAAUAUAGUCAGAAUUUUCACGUCUGCUUGAGCUAGGAGCUUCUGAUCUACUGGCAGCAUUCUCAUAUGAGGAAAGAAAACGAUCUGGACAAGGAGAUUCUCCAUUGAUAAAACCUUCAAGUCCAUUGGCAAUAAUCGAAGCUUGAAUUUGAGCUCUCCACACCAGAUAAUUUGUUCGAUCAAGUUUUGUUGGUUGAAUAAAAGAAAAAGAAAGUGAAGACGAUCCUGAAUUGCUUUGAUUCGUCAUGUUUCGUGGCUCUGAUACCAUAUUAGAAUUCGUAAUAAGAUGUUUGGAAACAAAGAAAAACAGAGAAAAUGAAAAAGGAAACUUCACGAUUUAUUAACCAGAAUAUUCAAUGCUUAUUAAGCUUACUUAGCUAAGCUUAUAUACAAUUAUUCUAACUAAUUAAACAACUGCAAAACAACUAAUAACAACUUCAGAUUUAGUUUAGCCAUUGAGCUCUUGCCACAUGUCAUUCAGUUACAUUCAAUCUUGUCCAGCUCAGCAGCUCUGUCCAGCUCAGCAGCAACUAUAUCUUCAACAACCGAUACCCCCAGUGAUCAUGCCAACUUUGUUGUAAUACCCAUUGUUGGCAUGGGCGGGAUAGGAAAAACAACUCUUGCUCGGGAGGUCUACAAUGACAAGGCCGUUGAAGAUUCAAAGUUUGAUGUAAAAGCAUGGGUUUGUGUCUCUGAUGUCUUUGAUAUUUUGGGCAUCUCAAAGGCACUUCUCGAAUCAAUCACCCGCAGGCCUUGUCUUCUGAACAGUUUAAAUGAAGUGCAGGUUGAGUUGAAAGUAGCUGUGGAUAAAAAAAGAUUCUUGCUGGUCUUAGAUGAUGUUUGGAACGAGGACUACAGCUUGUGGGUAGACUUAAAAGCUCCAUUCUUGGCAGCUGCACCAAACAGUAAGAUGAUCGUCACCACAUGCAAUUCAAAUGUUGCAUCAAUAAUGGGACCAAUUGAACAUUAUAAUCUCAAGAGACUGUUAGAUGAUGAUUGCUGGUCCAUUUUCAUACAGCAUGCACUUGAAUCUAGAGAUCUUAACGCACAUCAAAUUUCAGAAUCGUUCCACAAGAAAGUUGUUGGCAAGUGUGGAGGCUUGCCCCUGGCAGCAAAAACAUUAGCGGGCCUUCUACGUACUACGAGGCAUGAUGCCUGGGACGAUAUCUUGGAUAGCAAACUAUGGGAUUUACCACGACAAAAUGACGUUCUCCCUGUGUUAAGAUUGAGUUACCAUCAUCUUCCGUCUCAUUUGAAAAGAUGUUUUGCUCAUUGUGCCAUCUUUCCGAAAGAUUAUGAAUUCAAUGAGAAGGAGCUGACUUUCUUAUGGAUGGCUGGAGGUAUUAUUCGACAGUCAAGAAAGAAUGAGCAGCUGGAAGAAUUGAGCAGCAAGUGCUUUCAAGAUCUAGUGUCGAGGUCUAUUUUUCAACAAACCAGCUCUGGUAGUGCUAAAUUUGUAAUGCACGACCUUAUCCAUGAUCUUGCUGAAUUGGUUUCUAGAGAAACCAUUUUCAGGUUAGAGGAGUCCACCAACUUGUCAUCAAGAAGAUUUGAAAGGGUUCGCCAUUCUUCGUAUGCCCGUGGUAGGCUUGAUGGUAAAUCUAAGUUCGAGGUUUUCAAUGAAAUUGAACAUCUACGAACAUUCUUGCCAUUAUGCAUAAGAGGUGGCGUUACUUCUGGUUAUAUAACUAGCAUGGUUCUCUAAGAUUUGUUGCCGAAGUUCAAAAGGUUGAGGAUGCUGUCUUUAGACGGAUACCGUAUUAGUGAGUUACCAAUUCCAUUUGAAGAUCUGAGACUUUUAAGGUUCCUAAACCUUGCUGAUACUGACUUAAGAAGUUUACUUGAGUCAACAUGCGCAUUGCUGAACUUGGAAAUUUUGACAUUAAGAAAUUGUUCCCGUUUGAUAAAGCUACCGCCCAAAAUGAUGAACUUGAUCAAUAUUCGUCAUCUCGAUAUAAGAGGUGCAAAUUUGUUGAAGGAGAUGCCAUUCGGAAUGAAAGAGUUGAAGAAUCUUCAAACAUUGUCCAACUUUAUUGUGGGCAAGGGUGAAACUGCAUCUGGUUUGGAAGAUUUAGGAAGUUUAAACUUUCUUUGUGAUGAACUUUGCAUUGCUGGAUUAGAGAAUGUGAAUAAUCCACAGAAUGCAAGAGAAGCCGCAUUAUGUGAGAAGCUCAAUCUUCAUGCAUUGACUCUAGAUUGGGGGUCUCAAUUUGACAAUUCUCGAGAUGUAGCAGUAGAAGAGCACGUGCUUGACAUUCUACAGCCUCAUAAAUGUAUAAAAAAGGUGGCAAUCAGGAACUAUGGUGGUGCAAGAUUUCCACUUUGGAUAGGAGAUCCGUGGUUCUCCAAGAUAUAAUUCCUUGAAUUGGAGAACUGUAACAAUUGUGUAUCUUUGCCAUCGCUUGGUCUAUUGAGUUCACUUAAGCACCUUGCUGUCAAAGGGCUGAAGAAGCUAAAAAGCAUAGAGUCUGAAGUUUAUGGGGAGGGUUUCUCAAUGCCUUUUCCAUCAUUGAAGAUUCUACGUUUUGAGAAUUUGCCAGAGUGGUGGCAUUGGGACACCGAUAUCAAAGGAAAUGUGCACGUUGAUAUAUUUCCUUGUCUCCAAGAACUUUCCGUUGUGAAAUGUCCCAAACUCUCUGAAAAACUGCCUGAGCUUCUGCCCUCCUUGGAGAUACUUGUUGUUAGUAAAUGUGAAAAGUUGGUAGUUUCAUUGUCAAGCUAUCCAAGGCUCUGCAGAUUAGAGGUUGAUGAGUGCAAAGAACUAGUGUGCAGGAUCCCAAUUGAUUCUAAGUUGAUAAAGUUCAUGACUAUUUCAAAUAGUUCAUUAGACAUGAUUGGAUGCAAGGGGAUGCUAUACGAUAGUCAAGCUGGCUCUUCACUGCCAAAACCCAUGACCACUACAAAUGUUUUGGAGUUUGGAAAAUUACUGGAGCCUGGAUUUCAGAUAUUAGAAACUUUGGUAAUUGGCAAUUCUGAACAGCUCAAGCCAUGGAGGCAGGGAAGGGGACUUUCAAGUUUUAAUAGACCAGAACACCGGCUAAAAAUACUUGCUCACCCUGAUGAGGUAACAAUUGAGGAAAGUUGCGUAAGUCUUGUUUUGUUUCCAGAGAUCAAUUUCUUUCCCAGAAAUCUGCACUGUCUUCGAAUUUACAACAGCACUGCUUUCAAAUCCUUACCGGAGGAAAUGAUGGACAACAGUUCACAACUCGAAAGCUUGUAUAUCAAAGAUUGCCAUUCUCUACCAUUCAUCACAAGACGCAAGCUACCUUCAUCUCUAAAAAGGAUAGAGAUUGAGAAUUGUGAGAAAUUGCAACGUUUGUUCGAUGAUAAAGACGAUGCUUCUUCUUCUUCUCCUUCAUCCUCGUCUUCCCAAGUGAUGCUUCAACAUCUAAGUAUAAAGAAUUGCCAAGCGCUCUCCAGUUUGUCAUCGGGAAUUCAAUUACUUGAGUCGCUCGAAGAACUUGUGAUAACAAAUUGUCGAAAGCUGGAGUCAAUACCCGAUGGCCUGCACAAUCUUAACUGUUUACAGAAGAUUACUCUAGUGAGUUGUCCAAGUCUUGUUUCCUUCCCAGAAAGAGGGCUUCCCAACGCCAUUUCAUGGGUUGACAUUAGUUAUUGUGACAAGCUUGAAGCCCUGCCCAAUGACAUGCACAAACUCAACUCUCUCCAAACUUUAAGCAUAAUUCAAUGUCCAAAGCUUGAGUCGUUUCCAGAAGAAGGCUUUCCCACCAAUCUUAGAACGCUUAAAAUUGGAAAUUUCAAAAUGUACAAGACCCUCGUCCAGUGGGGGUUGCACAGGCUUUCCUCUCUCAGAAGCCUCUACAUUUAUGGAUGUCAUGAAGCAGAGUGUUUUCCAGACGAGAAGGUAGGAAUGACGCUGCCCACAUCUCUAACUCAUCUGUCCUUAUUGGGAUUCCAGAAAAUGAUACUUCUGUCUUCAGUGGGUUUCCAAAGACUCACGUCUCUUCAAUGUUUGAAGAUAUGGAAUUGCCCAAAUCUCACGUCAUUUCCAGAGGUAGGCCUUCCAUCCUCACUUUUGGAUUUAUACAUUAACAAUUGUCCUAGGCUUAAAAAGGCGUGCAAAAGGGACCAAGGAAAAGAGUGGCCCAAAAUUGCUCACAUCCCUUGCGUUGUGAUAGAUGGAAAAUUCAUAUACGAUCCAGAAUUGGAGGUGUAGAUUCUAUUAUUAAAGUCGGUUUAUUUAUAUUAUCCACUAUAACAAUCUCCUAUUAGUUUUUUUUUUUUUUUUUUAAUGAAAAAAAUUGCAGUUCUGUAUAAUUUAAAAUAUAUAUAUUAAUCCUCUGCCCUUAAUUGAAAAUACCACUCACUUGUUUCUGUUUUCACAAGUCAGAUUGUACGUUGAGGCUAUUUGCUUUUUAUCGGUGUUUGUUAAGGUAAUUAGUGUCUCAUAGGCUGAUUAUAGGCAGAUGAAAUUAUAACUUUUAACUUAAAAUUUAAUACCAUAGACAGAUAGAUGAUUUUUAAUCCAAAGGUUUUUAGAUGUGAUCAAAUUGUCACAUGCAUAACAUAUUAGGCAUGCAUGAUGUAUCACAAGGUUGAUACAUCUUAUAUGCCACGUGAUGAAAUUAAGGAUGUUUCUCUUACAAGGGACACAUCCUUACAUGUUCAAAUUUGAACAUGUAACUUCCAAGUGGUUAAUGGAAGUUACUUGUUCAAAAUUCGAACAUAUAACUGUCAUAUUGUUGCCUAUAUAGAGGCAUGAACGCAUCACAAAUUCAUACAUUCCAAGACAUACUUAAAGUCUUAUCAUAUUAUGAUCUUGCAGUUUUGCAUGUAGCCACCAGCCUAAGGGCAGUGUAAAACGAUCCCAAAAACCAUCAAUAAUAACAAUGGAUAUAGUUCCUAAAUAAACUGAUGAAAUUUAAGGAUGAUUGGAUGAAACAGCUAUGAUAAAAUGAACUAUCUCGAACCGAGCGAAUGGCACUGACUCAUGAAUAAGUGUGGAUUCCAAAUAUCUUCAUAUCUUCAUAGAUAUUCAUUUCCGUGUUAAUUCGAGGACUUCUAGAAAUUUAGUUAGUUAUUCUAUGAAAUAGAUAUACUAAUAAUAAUAAAACAAAAACGACGGGUGUUACACAAAUUCACAAGUAAAACUGUACUACUUGGAAACUGUGAACAGUAUAGAUUGAAGAUCAUACGAUUGCUAUUUUCAUUGAGUUUCAUGCAUAAAACUUUAUCGAUUAUUAAAUUAGACAUCUUUAUCUUUCUAUCCAUAUGUUUAUUGUUCAAAAACUUAUUGUAUAUUAAUUGUUUUGAUUUUUAAAAAUUGAAACACUGGUGCUGGAAAAUUCUGAUUUUCAGUAGCGAUUCUCAAUUCUAUAAUUUAUUUCAUAACUCCAAAUACUUCUGAAAAUUCUGGGAAUUUUUAUUACUGUACACUUAUAUGUCUAGUUUCUGUCUUUUUAAUUUCGUAAUUUUUGGCUUUAUAUAAAAAUCAUAGAGUUAGACUGCGCAAUCCCAGAAACUGUUUUCCAGAAUUGCGAGGGCUGAUAUUUAGGGCAGUUUGGGAUAGUUUUUCAUCAGUAAAUGUCUUAUAAAUCUUUAAUUCUGACUCCUAUUGUUUCCUCUAAUUGUCAAAACUAGAAUCACUAUUUUUGGACAUGUGUAACUAAAGUUAUAAAUUUUUCAAGCAACAGUCCUCUGUUUAUAUCGUUAUUGGACAGUUUGGAUAAUUUUGUGGAAAAAUAAGUUUUCAGGGGAUGUUUUUAAACUCUAAUUGAUUAUGUAAAAAUUUAAAUUGAAUGCCAAUAUGUUGACAAUAGUGUUUUGUGAUAUUUGUGAUAUUUCCGACGUACUUAUAGCUUGUUAGAAAUCAGCUCCUAUAUAAUGGUCUAGUAUAGUUUAGUGAAUUGAUGUGCUUAAGUAAGAGUGCAUGGUUUAAGGAUUUUUGGAUUUUCCUAUCUAGGUCAGAAUUGAAUAAGAUAUUGAUAGUACUUUUUUCUUAACAAUCAUAGGCCAAAAGUGAGCUCGUUUGAUUUGGGUUAUUGUUGAUUGCUUUGUAUCAUGGUAAGUAAAUUCAUGCAUAAUAUUUAUUAAAGUAUACACGUAAAUAUUUAUUAAUAGAAUAAUGUUGUCCAAAUGGAUUGGCAAGUUAUGGUUUUGAAGUUAUUUUAAAAUGUUUUCUUAAAUUUGUUUUAAAAAUAACUUCAAAAUACCUGCUUCUCUAUAAAAUGUUUUCCUUAAAAAUAUUUGUAAAGCUUUGCCAAUUCAAUGUCUUGUAAGCGUUUUAUCGAAAUAUUAUGGAAUGAUUGAUAUUGGAAAUCUGAAAACUGUUUUUAAGGUUUUGGCUCAUUGUCCGUAGUUAUCGUUACUAAUAUUACUAAAUAGCUAGUUGUAUUGUGCGCACCUAUUGACGAUUAUUGCAGGGUAAAGUACCCUGGUAGAACUAUAAGUUGGGUCACCGAGAUUAUAGGUGACAUAUUGAACUAUUGACCAGGUCACCGGGGGUAUAAGUGACACUAUGUGAUAUGAGUAAAUUGAAUGAAAGAAAAGUUUUAUUGAUAAAAGAUUUCUUACACGAUUAUUUAUUGAAAAUGAUUAUUAUGCUAUGACUUAAUUGAUUAUGAGUUUUACCGCACACAUAUGAUUACAAAAUGAUUUUUGUUUCCUAACUUGUGGUACUACAUAAUAAUGAUUAUAUACUUUUUUCCUUAUUGGUAACCUUAUGCAUGAGUUCGCUUACCGAUUGACGGCUCACCCCUCGUCUCCAACAUUUUAUAGAUUGAUUUUAGUGAUGUGCGCUUUUGGUCUAGCAAAGAGGAUUUAGCUGAAAAACUUUGGCAUUUUCUAGAUGAAUUAAUUGUAGCUAGUUUGAUUAUUGCUUAGAGCUAGAUUUUAUUUUGGAGGAUUUUUGAGUUAUUUUUUAUUUUAGAGACUAUGUUUUGUCAAUGAACAACAUUGACUUUAUUUGAAAAUAGUAAUAAGAUUAAUGUUAUAAGGUUUCAUUUGGGGUGUUACAACUUGUCUCUUAGUAAGUUUAUUUUUGUUAGCCUAUCCAGUAAGGUUUAUUAUCGACUGACAUCAUUUUCAAUGAAAUCAUCUUAUGUUGUUAAGUUUUGCAUAAAUAAAUAUUUCAGUAGGGUCAAAAGAGCAAGAGUUUACCUAUAAAAAAAAAGUCAAAAUUAGUUUAACCACCCCAGUGCGAAUUUCUGACCACGUCUUGCUUUGUAUGAUUUAACUCUAUUAUUAAUUAGUACUAAAAUAUCGAUGAAAAAAAUGGACAUGAAUUUUGAUCUCGUGUUGCUUUGUUUUGGUUGAGUGGCCAAUUUUAACUUCAUGUUAAACUUUCUCAAUUAUUAGUUGAAUUAUUUGGAUUUGAAAACUUAAAACCACCAUUUUAAUUUGUUUAGUAAUGACUAUGUUGAACUUCAACAUUUGUUUUCAAGAAAAAAAUUGAUCAAACUAUGAUGCUCUUGUUUCUAUUAUUAUGGAAUCUCUUUUUCAAUCGUCAAAGUUUGAAUUAUAUUAUGCUGCCUCUGUAUUUCCGCAGAAACAGAAUCAGUUGGUGAUCCUUCAAAACAAGAAAAACCAAAAAAAGAUGUAGUGCGUGAUAAGAUAAUGAGACAGAUGGCUCAUGUUGACAUUAAUACUCAAGUUGGAAGUUGCAUGCCCCUUGCUUGUAUGCGGACUGGGACCAUCAUCCACAAAAUUGAGGUAUACCCGGCUGAAGGUGGCAAGCUAGUUCGAGCCGCUGCGACGUCAGCCAAGAUUUUGAAGAAGACCCACUUCAAGGUACUGCUUAGUAAGGCUAACUUCUGGAAAUGAGAAACUGAUUGACGCUAGAUGUCGAGCCCACCAUUGGUACAGUGUCUAACCCCAGCCAUGGAGCUACGAAGCUUAGGAAGGCUGGUCAGAGCCGUUGGUUGGGUCGAAGGCCUGUGGUUGGAGGAGUAGCCAUGAAUCCAGUUGAUCAUCCUCAUGGUGGAGGUGAGGGACGAAGCAAAAGUAGCCGUAACCAUGGAAGGUGUUCACUUACGCCUUGGGGCAAGCCUUGUAAUUCUGGGUAUAAAACUGCAUUUCCUAAGGGAAAAAAAAAAAGAAAAAGAAAUUACCCGUCUGAUAAUAUUUUCCUUCUUUGCUAUUUAGCCUUUUUAAUAAUGUUACAUUGUUUGUCAUAUAUUUGAGGUUAGUUUUAGACCAAUUUUUAACUGAUCCAUAAUGAAACUGAAGUUUAAUUUUCUAUUGAACUUUUCCUGGUUUUACUCUUCUGUCAUUUCAAUUUAGCAAUGAUUUAAGAUGUUGAGUUCUGUGCUUGGAACAUGUAAAUGGGAAAGAGAGAUAUAAUGGGGUAGAAUAUAGAUUUUGUGUUUUGGUUUCUCAUGUUUAGAGAUAUUCUGUUCUUUUUCAUUUGUUCAAUUUGGUUAGUGGUGAUUUCUUAAAGAGUCGAUGCACGUGUGUAUAUAUACUUUUCUUUUGGCCUUGAUUCUGUUUCUUGGGGAGUUUAUGCAGUUUCUUUUUUUAUGCUUCGUAUGCCACAUGAAAGAUGAAAGCAUUUUGUGUAUUUAGAAUUGACUUGCAUCAUAGUAACUUUGAAUCACUGUUAACAUUUGUAUAAUAGCAGUCUGAGAUCUCCUUGAAGGAUUCAAAAGCAUUUUAUUUGAUGGUCUAGACCUAAAAUCAACUCCUUUAUAUAGAUAGGUUGGUCUUCUUCAAAGCAAUUCCUAUUUUAAGUAAUCAAAAUUUUGAUUUGGAAGUGUGUUUUAACACUACCAAAAGUUCUUUAAAUACUAAAAAUGUGUUUGGGAGUGAGGUGAUGUGGCUUUUAAGCUACAAUUACUGCAAAGUAAAAGUCAGUGAGUAUAAAUAAGAAAAAAUGACUGUUGAGUUGCCAAAGCCCAACUGCCGCACAUCACUUCCAAAUGCACCGUAAAAUGAUUUUGAGUCUUCUAUAUUAUUGAAACAAAAUACAUGAAAGCACUUUUGGCUACAGAAGUACACUUGGGGUUCUUUAUAAAAUUCUUCGACAGCAAUUUUUCCCCCUUUUUGCUCAUGGCGGUUUUUCUGGUUGUUCUUUUAAGAAAACACUUAAAGGUUCUUUUUAUAGAUUUCUGAAAGUACUUCCAACAUAAGCAUUUUUCAGAAAUUUUUUCUGAAAUUAAUUUUAUUUACUUAUCGACUUUUCAACUCCUGUGGUUGUUUAUGAAAUGAAAGGCAAGGGUAAUCACAAGAAAUCUGCAAACUUUAUCAAUUUUUAACUAUACCAAUUUGUUGUUUAUGCUUUACUUUUAUUUUACAGUUUUGUUUAAUGUUUAGAUGAUAGAUAUAUAGACAUUUUAGAUUGGAGAAUUUUGUCAACAAAUUCAUUCCUUUCUUUCACUUUUUCCCUUUUCAGAGGAAAGCAAUUUUGACUAAUUUUAGCCAGAAUCGGACUAUAAUAUUUUGGAGCAAGCCUACUUGAAAUGAUGCUUUUUAAAUUUGAUCUAGUUAAAAUACACUGCCGUUACCCAAAAAAUUCUAGUCUUGGAUUUCAUAGAAUGCCCUUUUAAGAUAUUUUCUCAGCUCUUUGUUGGUCGCAGCAUCUGAGAUUAGCAUUCUCACAUUUCACUUGUUUUGCCUUUGUUUUGAAGGUAACUUAGUUGCAUAGGUGAAUCGAGGUUCAAGAAUGCCGAGAUGGCUACAAGUUUCAAGAAUCAUUUAAAGAGGCGUAAUGACAGCACCAAGAUGGGCUUUGUGAUUAACAAGAUUACUAAUUGAACCAAUCUUGAUGGGACAGAGGACAUGUCAGAACCGUUGCGCACAGGGAGAAGAGUUAGGGGAGCUUUGAGAGUUGAGACCAUCAACAUCCAGAAAGGCUGCUGGUAAUGUUUCAUGUGUUACAAAGUUGCAAGGAAAUUUCAUUUAUAUUUUAACACCUUGUAUUUGAAAAAUUUAAUGUAAUUUUCUCUUUUUUCAAUUUAUUAUUCAGAUCGUAGACUAGUAAACGGUUUAGAUCGCAAGCUUUUAUUAUGCAGUUAUUUUCUCCUUUUCAGGAAGAAGUGGUCAGUUCCAUUCCAGAAUUGGAAUAUGGUAAUUAGGUGCAAGCAUACGUUGUAACAAUCAUUUCUUGUUUGUUUGAUUAUGCUUAUCUAUUUAGUUGUUUAUCGUUUGGUUGUGUUAAAUUAUUUGAAUUAGCAUUAUUUGAGAUAAAGCAUAAUUCUUUUAUUUAUUUAUUUAUUUUUUAAAUAAAUUAUUAUAGAAUAUCGUCUUUAUCGUAUAAUGUAUUUUUAUAAAAGUAAGCAUUUUUAUAAAAUUUAAACUCUUCCAAUCUCCUUAUGAUUAAAACCCUUAACCUAAUAAACGUAUAAAAGCAAAGAGUCCUAGGAUUUUCUUUUGUGCACAUUUGGAAGAAUUUUUGAGGUAAUUAUCCUUCUCUAAAACAUAUUCUCUAAUCUUAGGUGUUUAAUGAUGAAUGCAUGCAUUGUUUUUUUAAUCAUGAAUGACUAGCUAGACAUUAUGAGGCAUGAGUACUGUGAUUCUAUUACUGUUUUCCCUUUAUUUUUUAUUCAGGUUUUCACUAAAGUUUUCAUAAAAUUAAACUAGACAUUUUAAGGCUUUCAAUGAUAUAUUUUGUACGAAAAGAUUACCAGUAACCAAUUUGUUGUGAAUUUUCGAAUUCAGAACAGUGGUGCUGGAAAAUUCUGAUUUUCAGCAGCAUGUUUGACUUUGCCCAUUUUUCUGUCUGUCUAAAUGAUCCCUAAAAUUAUGCUGAUUUUUCUAUUAAAUCCUCAUUAUGUCUACUUACUAUAUGUUCACUUUCAUAAUUUUCAUUGAGUAAAAAAAAAAUUAAAAAUCAUUAUGUUGGGCUGCUGCAGUUUUGGAAACUGCUUUCCAGAAUUGCGAUGGCUGACAAUAAAAUUACUUUAGGCUAUUAAAAGGCUUUAGAAUGGCCUAUAAAAAUUAUAUUCAUAUAAUUUAUGAAUUCCUUAUGAUUUAAAGUUUAUUUGACUAAUUUUGAUAGUUAACAUUAAGUUAUGAAUUUUUCAAGUGCAAAACAUAAACCUGAAUGUUUCUGGACAGGUUUGCUGGUCUCUUAAUAUAAAUUCGUUUAAAAUAGUGUCAUAUCUUCAAAAAUUCUAGGAAUUUGAAGCUUUGUUUCUUGAUGCAUCUACUGUUUUAAAAUCAAGUGGUCUAAUUUUUAAGAGUUCUAUUAAAUAUUUUACAAAUUUUCCAGUUCAGCAACCUCUGUUUUUAUCACUGUUGGACAGUCUGGAUAUGCAUGUAAAAUUCUUUUUGCAAUAUGUUUGACUUUUAUUCAUUCUUUUGAAUUUUUAUUUGAAAUGUUAUCCAUGUUUAUGGUUUAUUUUCUUUGAUUUUACAAUUUUCCAACAUUUGAUUAGCUUGGUAAAAAUCGGCUCAGACUAGCUUUAAUGGUUUAGUGCUUAUGACUAGGCUUGAUUAUGUUAGAUUUAUAUCAAGAUCAGAAUGAGUAAUAGUAUUGAUAAGAAUGUGUCUUGAUAUUUUAGGACGAGAUUGAGCUCGAGGCUAAGGUUACUAUUCUUUAUUGUUGAGGAUUGAGAUAAGUAGAUUCAUGCAUGGUAUAUGUAUUUCACUAUUAAAUUAUUUUUAAUUCGAGGUAUCUAUUAUGUUAAAUGAAAAGUAUUUGAAACUAAUUUGUUUUAGCCUAUUACAAUAUUUUGUUAAAAUAAAAUCGUUCUUUAAAUUAUUUAUAAUAAACCUUUUAUUUAUUAAAAACUUGUUUUAUAAAUUGUCUUAAAAAAACUUUUAUUAAAUUGUUUUAAGUCAAAUACUUUGAAAUAAUUAUCAAUUAUUUAAAUGAUUAAAAGUUCAAGGAUGAUUUUAAAUGUUUUUGCUCAUUGUCUGUAAUGAUGCUAUGUUAUGUUAUAUGUUGUGGAAGGCUAGUUGGAAUAUGUGUACAUAUGAUGUUAAUGUUAAUGAUUCUCGUGGGGUACAGUACUCUAAAUGAUGUCAUACGGAUGGGUCACUGGGUCUACAAGUGAUACUAUGUGGAAUGAGCUAAGUAUGUUUUAUGUAUUUAAAAAGCUAAUUAUGUUUUACAUGUUUGAAAUGCUAUUAUUAUGUUUAAAGGAUUUAAAUGACUUUCUGAUGUUUUGAUUUAUUUUUUAUAAAUGAUUAUUUACAAAAGUAAUUUCCCUUAUUAUUAUUAUGCAUAUCUAAGAAAUUCAAACAAUUAUAAUUUAAUGGUUUUUAGUAUUGUGCAUGAAUUUACUUACCGAGUUGACGGCUCACCCCUUGUUAUCAUAUUUUUGUAGAUAGAGUUAGAUGAUGUGAGCUCAUGAUCUUAGGAGGAAGAAUGAGAGCUCGUUUAUUUUUGGGGAUUAAUGUUACAUUAAUAAUUUAGCUUCCUUUGGCAUGAUAUUUAUUUGAGAAUUUGUUAUUUCAUUACUUAUUAUCUUUUGGAAGAGGAGCAUUUACUGUUGGAUAUUAAUUUGAUGAUUUUAGAUACGAGAGUGAUGAAAUACAGUUUCACUUCAAUUUCACUUUAGUAUCUUAUUAGUGGAAUUGGGGUGUUACAUACGUGCCCGGUCAAUGAACUUGAACUUUAAAUAGUUUUUUCAACUCAUUGAUUUUUGGAACUCAUAUUGGUGCAAGGAAAUCAAAAGAAAUUUAUGAUUAGUCAAAUUCUGAUAGUUGCUAUAUAUUAUACAUUCUAAAGUUUCUUGAGUUUGUUUUCAGAUGAAAAUAUGAUCAAUUCAUUUUGUUUUUGAAGUGUAGGAAAAUAGGCUGGGAUAUUAAUGCAUAGGCAAAAACUUUUUGAGUGGCUUUCCAGCGGAUAAUUAUCGGAAACAUGACUGGAUUUUUUGACUUCCGUAAAUCUUGCAUUUUAACCUGGCAAAUUUAACAAAAGUUCAAUACAACUUUGUUAGUGCCUUGUGUUCCAGAAGCUAGAAAGAUGUGUAGAUUCCAUAUAAGCGGGCUUGUAAUUACUCUAGUAAGAAUCCAAUUAUUUGCCUUUGCACCUUCAUUUUAUUUGUGGAUCCUUGCAUGUUUCUGAAUUUGAUCAAUCCAAAAGGAAUUGCUCUGAAGAAUAGCAGUAACUAGCCUAUGUCUUAGUGCAUGGACCUGCAAACCUGAGCUGACAAAGCUGAAACUAUUAGUUUGAGGUGACAAAUCCAUGAUCGUCACCUGUUAACUUCUGCUAGUUGCUUUCGUGAAACACUUUUAAGAAAUAAGCAAUUUGUUGUUAGUCGCCGUAUCUGAUGUGCUUUCUUUUAUAGUUUGUAGAAUCAACUGUAUUAUAUGUUGUCAGUUGCAGUAUCUGAGGUGUCUUUUGCAAUUUACUUGACCUUUAUUUGUUUGCUAGUGAGUUAAGAAUACCAACAUUGGCCAGAGAUUUGGAGAAACAUCCGAAGACGCUUAACAAACUUGGAGAUGCACUUGCUUCCAAGCUUCAUUCAUCACAAUGCGAAUCCGGUGAGUACUUAUGUCUUCAAUUAUGUAGAGUGUUUGAAAUUUUGAUGCAGCGAGAUGGUUUGUUGAUGCAAAACUUUAUACUGUUAAGGACUUACCCUGCAGGCUUUUUGCAUGUUGUAUCAACUCCAAAAUCCAACGAGAACUACAGCACCAAAGCCCAGUUUUCACUGAUUCAAUCAGCUGAAAUCAUGAGGGAAAUAACAGUAUAGCACCAUCAAGCUGGACUUAGAGAAUAAUCAGAUCAGUCAUCCAUUUCAUGAACUGUUAAUUUCAUGAUGGAGGCUUAGUGGAGCUGAAGAGGAAACAAGGAUGUGUAGGGAUCAACAAACAACAGUGAGAAGCACGAUUGGAGCUCUGAUUACAAAUAGACAAUUUAAAAAUAUGUGCUGGUAAGUGGAAAUUAAAGAAAUUUGUGAGCUCAUUCAAGUUUCGGUAUUUUCUUUUUGGAUAACGUUGAUACCAAGUUUGGCAAAUCUGUGUUUUCUGCGUUUAAUCUGUGUUUUGGUUAAAGUAGAUGCUCUGAUUAAUACUUGUUUGUUUUCAUAAAACAGGACAAAAAGAGAUCACCAAUCUUGAUUGAGAAUUCAUUUAAGUAAAAUUUCAAAAAUUGCCAAACACAGUAUAAACUAGGAUGCACUUGCUUAAGAUUCAUUUUCAGACGGAAGUUUGUACCUCCAGAUCAUAAAAUCAUGUUUAUGUUGUAUCUUUAUUCAGCAAUUGAAAGAUUCCAAGUUUGCUGAAACCAUAUUAUUUCUUUCCCAGGCGCUUUCCUGAAGGUAUCGACAUCUAUUUCGAAAAUGUUGGGGAUAAGUUGCUUGAUGCAGUGCUACAAAACUAUGAAGGAUUUCUUGUCGGUGAUUACUACCACCUGGAUAAAAAAUUCAUGGAACUGGUCAUGCCGGCAAUAAAAGAAGGAAAGGUGGUACACGUGGAAGACAUAGAUGAAGGCCUCUGUAUACGUCGAAGACAUAGAUGAAGGCCUGGAGUCCAACAGCCCUCGCUGGGCUAUUCAUUGAUCGGAAUGUCACGAAACAACUGAUUGUAGUUGCUUGGGAAUUUAAAAACCACCAUAUGCUGUAGAAAUGCACAGAGCCAUGCACUUUCAAAGCUUUGUGAAGAUGUCUUGGUCAUGUGUUAGAACAGAUUAUGUUUGUUCGAUUAAAUUGUACGCAGUUAUAAAUCAAAGAUUCAGAACAUUGCAUGUAGAAGUUCAAAUUUUAAAUUUUUGGAAGCAGAGGCGUAGAGUUUUUUUCUUUUGGAAAAAAAAAUCUAAAUUGUGGAGACUAUUUUUAUUUAAUUUUACAAUCUUAUUUUAUUUCUUUCACAACAUAAUUUUAAAAUAUUUAUUUAGUAAAUUAUUAACAUCCAAACCACUAAAGAUUUUUUUGUUAAACGCUCUACUUACAAAGUUAUAUUAAUUAUAGAUUUACUCAAAGAAAGUAUAUUUAAGAAGUUAUAGCAAAAAAAAGUUCUAAUCUGUCUUACAAAGGACUAUUGACAAGAGUGGUGCGACUCCCACCCCUUCAAAGUCCACUUGACACCACGCUUUCUCGAUUUAAAAUUUUAUAUAGUUGAAAAUUGUGUUUUCUUUUAAAUCUCCUUGCUUUCCUCUAUUCUUGUUACUUGAGAAGAAGAACCAGAGUCUAGAAGAACGAAAGAAAAUUCAGCGAGAUAGAAAUUUGGAAAUUUCAUCCGAGCUUUUUUUUUCUUAAAUUUUUUGGUAUUUCUUCCUUGUUUCUAUGGAUUCGUUCAAUGGAUUCUUGACCAUUCUUCCUUCUUUCUAUUUUCUACCAUGAUUCAGAAUUUUUCCUUAAAAAAAAUCUAGAUGCAUGGCCAAAUGAAAUGACCCCCUUUAGAGCUUCGGUUACUGUUGCAUAUUCAGCGUCUGCAUUUGACAAAGCAACUAAAUGCACACUAAAGACUUGCUGUUUCCAUUCAGUAUGCAGUUACACAGACAAAGGCCUUAAUUAUUGUCAAGUUCUCCAGUAGCAUACUCCGAAAUCCACAUACCAACCCACCAGAACUCCAAUCUUGAAACUCCAUAAAUCAAAAUUGAAGUGCCUGCCUCUCUGGUACCUCUCAAGGUCCAUUUUACUACUUUCCAUGUCUUUCCAUGCAUCUACUGACAACUUGGGAAAUGCCAGGUCUUGCAAGCACCACUACUUACAUUUGAGUCUGCUAUUAUUAUUAUUACUAUUUUAUUAUUAUUAUUUAAAAAAAAACACUCUAACUAGGAGAGACAAGUUCCGUGUAGUAGGACUGAGCAACAGGGCCGUAGCAAAUAUUAUGUUUUUAAUCAUUCUUGUACCAAAGUAUUUAAGUAUGCGAUAAAAAAUAAUAAUAAUAAUUUAUUGACAACUAAAAGUUAAUAGUGGCUGGGGUGGACCUGGGUUUUGUUUAAAAAAAUUGAUUAAUAAAAUUUUCGAAAUUUCAAAUUUCUAGUACAGAGAAAAUUGAUGAAUAAAAUUCUGCAAGUUAAUUUCUAAUAUGCCAUGAAAAUAUUAUCAAGUUAAAUUGUAACAUCGUUAAUCACUUAAUCCUCAGUCUAAUAUGCCAUAUAUUUGUUUCUCAGGCUUUAAUCGAAAGUGCCGGUGAUUUAUUGUUAUUUUCAGUAAUCAGAUAGGUAUGUUAAGGCUGUUUAAUUCAUCGACAAUGUACCAACAAGACUCAGAUUGGGAGAUUGUAAAUGUAAUUAACAAUAAUCUUUUAUUCAUUUUGAAGUUCAUUCUAUUGUUUACACAGGAGCAGCGUUCUCUUAUGUUUUAUGGAUAUAAUGUUUGGUAAUCCUAAUUUAAGCUAAGGUAUAUAUAUUUCCUAAUUACAUCUAAUUUAAGCUUAUUCAAAUGCAAUCAAUUAAUGUUCAAUAGUAAAAAUUCCAAAUACUAUAUAUUGUAAGAAUUUUAAUCGUAAUGACAAGGUGAUCAUUUGAAUUAUUAUUAUUAAAUUAUAUGUAUGGUGGAGUCCACACGGUUUUGACUAGAAAUCAAAGAGUUAAGAGACAAUAUUAAUUUAUUUAAGUUAAUAGUAUUUGUUCUGUUUAGUACGUCUUUUGACCAACAAGCAUCCCGGCAUUGCACGCAUUAAUUAAUAAAGCAUUGUGCAUGUCACAUUAUUAGAGCCAAUUGCGCCCGGUACACCUCCAUACUUCAAAAAUUAUCUUAAUACCCUAAAAUCUGUUUUUACCAAAAUUUUCAUCGAUACCCUUUAAAAACGGAUAGGAAAUUACUAAGCUAUCCUCAUUUUAAAACAUUUCAACUCAACGGACAGCACCUCUCCCUUCUCUACUGAAGCAAACAAACACUCAUCUGCUGCAAUUCCCUCCAUUAUCAAACUCAAAUAAACAAACACUGCAAUUCCCUCACCGGCAUCACCUCUGCAAUUCCCUCACCGGCAUCACCUCUACCGAAACAAAUAUUCAUUCUCCAUACAUGAUAAAUUGAACUUCAACACGAGCAAACUAAGCUUGAGAAGGGGAAGCUGCCACAACUGAGAAAGAGAAGCCUAGUUCGUCUCUACAUAAUCGCCGGCGAGAGCUGAUCCUUUACUGUAAAAUAGUCAUAAUUUAACUAGUUGAGGUAAGUAAUUCUCUAUAAAUAGUUUUCUUGUUGAUAUUCAGGGAAAAAAAAAACAAAAAGUUAGGGUUUAUAUAGAAAAAUUAGAUUAAUUAGUUGCGGGUCUCUCAUUACAUGUUCAAAAACAAAUUUCUAGUUGUUUUACUACAUGCAAAUUGUGAACAAUUGAUGGAUUGUGCCGAUUAUAAUUUUGUCAUGUAACACACAAUUUGGUCGUGUAAGGUUAUGUAGGAUUCAAGGUUGUGUAUUACACGACCUUCAUGUAUUGCACUUACACGACUUCAUGUAUUGCACUUACACGACUUCAUGUAUUGCAAUUACACGACUUCAUGUAUUACACGACGUUCAUGUAUUACACGACGUUCAUGUAUUACACGACCUUCAUAUAUUACACGACCUCAUGUAUUACACGACCUCAAAAUUACACGACUUUUUUUACUGUUGUUAAUUCAUUAUAAUAACUUAGUUGUUUAAACACUUAAUUUUUGCUAAGAAUUUAUAUUUGUUGCUAUGCAGAAAAUGUCAACGAAAAGUAUUCAGGAAAAAAUGAAACGAGGCAAACCGAAAGUGAAAAUUACUAAUUUGUCAUCGUUGGAACCAAUAAGAAUAAUAAAAAAUAACCUUAGUGACGUACAAUUGGGGAUUUUUCGCAAAUCAUGUUUUGGGCACUUUUUGGACUUGAAUGAGUUUCAGUUUUGUGCCCAGUUGUUGCACAAGUUGGUAUUAAGUCAUAUGCAUUCAUCCGAUAAGGCAAUGUAUUUUAAGAUAGGGAAAAAAGUUUGUCGAUUUUCAAUGUUUGAAUUUGCAUUAGUUACUGGACUGAAUUGUGAAGAAAUUUAUAAACCUAACUUGGACAUUGUUGAUGACGGUGGUCGUGUAUGUGAUGUUUUGUUGGACGGUUGCACAAAGUUCACUAACACAACGCUAGGUCAGAUAUUUGAAGCAACUAAGUCCAAGGAUGAUAUGAAAAUGGUUAAAUUUGCCAUGUUGUACUUUUUGGAGGUUGUAUUACUUGGAAAAGAAUAUAGAUCAUCUAUAAUUAGGGAUCACAUUCUCCACAUUGACAACUUUGAAGAUUUCAAUAAAUAUCCUUGGGGCCGUGUCUGUUUUGAGAACACAUUAGAAAGUAUGAAGAAUGUGAUUGCAAUUAGACAGAAUAGAGAAAGGGCAAAUCCAGACUAUGUCCCUGAAAAGGAGGCAUACAGUCUUCAUGGCUGUCCAUUUGCAGUUCAGGUAACAAAUUGUCAAUAUUGGUUUCGUAAAGAUUAUUAAGAUUAGGAAUAUUAAUUAUUUCUUUUACUUGCACAGGUAUGGGCACUUGAAAUUUUCAGUGAAGUGUGUGAAACUUUUUCCUCGAAAUGUAAGCAUGUCAAAUAUCCAAGAAUUCUAAAUUGGACAAUCACUAAACAUGUUAGCUCUAAUUUGCUUGACUAUUCCAUAUUUGAUAAGAAAAAGGUAAUAACAAACAAUCUAGAUCGUUAGUGUCUUUCUUUUUUUCUUUUUAAUUUAUCUUUGACAUUUAUUAAUUGGCCUAAUUAUUACAGCUUAAGGUACUGGAGAAGUUGGAUGUCGCUGAUGAAAUAGAGGCAUCACAGCCUAAUCUACAAUGGUUUUGGCAAACAAAUUGGCUGCAACAACUUGAAAAUGAUUUUCGUGUUGACUCAAAGAGUAAAAAAUCAGCCACUCCAGUCUCAGAACAGAAAAGUAGCAGUGUUGUGCAGAAAAAUUAUGUGGCCAUGGAAGUUAAAGAGACUAAUAAACGUGCGAAGUGUCAAGUUAUGUCCAUGAAAUACAAAAUGAAUUAUGAACAUGCAAAUUCUGUUGAGGACAAAACUGUAAGUUUUUUUAAUCUUUUAAUAACAAUUGCAUUUUUCAAUUUUUUUUUUGUUUGCCUAAUAGGCUCUGUCUUGUUCUGCUUGCAAGGGUAAACGUCUUGGUUACAUUGAUAAUUUGAUUUCUUUUAUCGAGGACAAGUUUAAUUGUUUGGAUAAGCGUCUCAAAAAGAUCGAAGAGAAGGUGCAAAAAAUUGACUCAUUAGAGGAGAAUACAGGUGAUGUGAGGGAGAUGAGAGAACAAGUCAAUAAAAUUGUAGACUUAGUGGAGUUCCUAAAUUCAGCGGACUACAAUGUGAAGGUUCAUUUUAUUAUUAUUUUUAACUAAGUAUGUUAUUAUUUUUAACUAAGUACAAAUUGUGUAAAGUUAUUAAUAUUUGCUGCUGUGCAGAUUCCGACAACAUUUGAUGAUAACCCGAGUAUUGCCACACCUGCGACUGUGUUUCCAAGCUUCACCACAAAUGCAGGCAUAGUCAAAGAGGAUCCAAUAAUUAUUCCGUCUACACAGCAAGAGGUGAAAAAAUAUGAAAGAAAAAGGCGAUCUCGAAAGGAUGCAGCUGUUUUACGCACGCCAUAUACUAACCCAUUUCGAAAAUCGCGACAUGUCAACGUCGAUGAAGCAAAACAGCAAGUUCAGUUUGAGCAUUGGCUGAAGGAGGAUAAUAUGGAAUCGUAAUUCCUUAUUUCUCUUUGUAAACUUACUUUUAUUUGAAACAAUAUUUCCUGGUUGACUAUAACAAGCAAUAAGUUUUACUCACAUUUUCUUUUUCGUUACUGCACAGUAAAAUAUUAUCGUGGCCUAUGCAUAAAGCAACAAAGAACUUCUUCCGCAGCUUGUAUGAUGCAGACGCGUGGUUAAAUGGCGGGGUAUUAUUAAUAUAGUUUUUGUUUAGCAUGUAAUUUACUGCAGUAAUGUUUGCAUUUAAUAUUAAUUUACAUAUGUUGGUAAUAUGUACAGCAUAUAGACGUUGGUUGUUACGUGAUAAGAUAUGAUUUGGCCAAGCUCACUAUGCCACAUUUGCACCAAUGUGCAAUCAUGGAUAGUGUAUUUCAGGUACUUAGUACUCUGUAGUAAUAAACAAAUAAGAUAUGUAAAUUUGUGCACUGAAAACUUGCAAAAUUCAUUGUUUUUUCAGCAAAAGCUUUUGUUGAAGUAUGAGUUGUUUAAGAAGGAUCCAACUACAAUAUGGGAUGAAGAUCAAGAACAUGAUUUGACAAUCAAACAAGCAAAUGGCGAAGAUCUUCCAUUCGCUAUUCCAUGGAGAGAUGUUUAUAAGGUAAAGUUUAAAUUUUCUUAAUGCAUCGCUAAAGUUUAAAUUUUCUAUUUUUGAUUGGCUCAAAUUAUUGUAGGUUUAUAUCCCAAUUAAUGUACUUGAGUGUCAUUGGAUUCUUGCUGAGGUUGACAUUGUAAGGGAGACAAUUUCCAUAUAUGACUCCAUGGUUUCUAUAAUGAAUGACUCAACAUUUUUGAAAGAAUUAUUGCCAUAUGCUGUUAUUAUUCCUCUUCUACUGGAGAAGGUUUUAUGGUAUGAUUCGCACCCUGAAACUACCCAAAAAAAUAAAGUUUGGAUAGUUUUGCGUUUAGCGAAUACGCCACAGUAAGAAUCUCGGUGAGCAUACCAAAUGCUCAAUUUAUUUUCAUUUUACUGUUAUAGUUAUAUAUUCAGUAUAUAGUUAACUAUUUUUUAAAAUUCUCAGUGGAGAUUGUGGUGUGUUUGUUUUGCGUUACCUGGACACACUUGCACGUGGUGAAGAUAUUCAAACAAAUUGUACGCAGGCACAUGUCUCUUCUUAUCGCAAGCAACUAGCUGAAAGACUUUUCUAUGACCAGUCAUUACUUUCAAAGAACAACUAACAUGUGAGUAUUAUUUUUUUAAAUGAAGUCAUUGCUGUUGGAAUAGUUUGGUUUCUUAAUGUGAAACCAAAAUAGGCCAUCACUGUUAGUUUGGUUUCUAAUUAAUUUCAUGGAUUUAUUAUAUGCAGGCAUUCCUCAUGCAUGCAUGUAUGCUUCGGCAGAGGAAGAAAGCAAUUUCAAGAAAAAAAAACUUUUAAAUGGUUGUAAUAUGUUUAAUUGCGAUAUCCAUUAGUGUAUCCUAUCCAAAUAUUGACAUUGUAAACUGAUAACUUUCUUUAUUUAUAAUAAUUAAUCUCAUCAUUUCUCAAACUGUCGAAUAUGCAAACUUAUUUGUUUGCUGUAAUUUAUGAACACACAAUUUGGUCAUGUAAGGUCAUGUACACGACGGUCGUGUAUUACACGACCGUCGUGUAGUACACGAGUAUAUUACAUGACCUUAAUAUAGUACGCGACUAUUACAUGACGUUCAUGUAUUACAGGACUUCAUGUGUUACACGACUUUUUCCAAUAAUCAUCAGAUUAAUUUAGUUCUUUAAGGACUUAAUUGGGGCUAAAAUUUUAUAUUUGUUGCUUUGUAGAAAAUGUCAACUGAAAUUAUAAAAACAAAGAAGUUAAAUUAAAUUGGAAUGUAAAGAAAUUUAGUUAUUUCAUAAUGCAACAAAUUACAGUUUCCAAGCAUAACAUAUCCAAGACUAAAAAAUUGUAAAUCCAAUUAUCUAAGUUUGGUUAGCCGUAGGGCCAUGCUCUUGCUCUGAAAGUGGUGUUGUUGCAGUGCAUGUUAGUCGAUUAUGCCCCUCAAUCUGCACCUACUACACUUGCGGUGCACGAUGUCUUCCCCUUGAGAAGGUAUUCUAGUAGUUCGCGGUCGUCCUACCUCUCGCUUUUUCAUUGGCAGUGACAGCACAUAUGCACGCACCUCUUCUGAAACAUCCCAUUCCUCUUGUGGACCCACAAGAUAAAUGCUCUCUGCAUAUGCUGUAACCCAUGCAUUGACAGAAUAAUAAUGAGCACAUAAAUCAUAAAUAGAAUAGUUACGCAUAUGCUUACAUACAGCUACCACAUGUUCAUAGGGAAAUUGGUCAAUUUGAAACUCAUUACAACUGCAAGUCUUUUGUAGCACGUCAACAUGGCCAUCAAGGUCGCCAUCCUUAACUAUAAACUCAUGGAAAUUAAUCUGUAUUACUGGAUAUGUGUGUGAUUUAUCCAAUUUCCCUUUCAACUAUUUCUCAACCCAAGUAGUCAUUAAAGUACAUGCAUCCAUUGCCAAAUCUCGCCUUUUUGCAAACCAUUCUUGUAAUUUGUCAAUGAUACAAUCCAUUAACUUAUAAAUAGGCAAGGUUCGUGCUUCUUUUAAGAUAGAAUUCAUACUUUCUGCAAUGUUAGUCGUCAUAAUCCCAUAACGCCUCCCCUCAAAAUGAGAACGAGCCCACUUCUCAUAUCCGGCAUCAGUCAGGUAUUGGUGAACAUUCAAACUAACACUGCGGAUGACAUUCAUAUAUUGAGUAAACUUAAUGGGCCGAUAUGCCUUUGCAGCCAAUUCAAAUAAAGCACCCACAUCAACUUCUUUAAAAUGAGCAUUUACAUUUCGUUUUAGAUGAUGCGUACAUAUGUCAUACCCUACAGUAGGAAAUACUUUAUCAACUGCUUUCUUAAUACUUCCAUGACGGUCAGAAAUGAAUACUAAAUUAGGAACAUCACCAAUAGACUCUCUUAACUUCAUAAAAUACCAUUCCCAUGAAGCGUCAUUCUCACUGUCACCUACACCAAAUGCAACAGGGUAAAGUUGAUUGUUGCCAUCAAGAGAUGUUGCAAUGAAUAAUGUUCCUUUGUACUUGCCCCUCAUGAAUGUACCAUCAACUGCAAUAACAGGCCUAAUACAUGAAGUGAAUCCUCUCAAAGAACUUCCAAUGGCCAUGAAACAGUACUUGAAGUUGUUCGCACUGUCUUUUUUAAUGAAUGUUCGACUUCCAGGAUUUUUUUUUUUCAACCAUUGCCAUGUAUGAGGGUAAUAAAUGGUAUGAAUCAGCCGGACUGCCCCUAACCAUCUCCAUUGCAAACUCCCUUGCUCUCCACGCCUUGUGAUAACUUAUUUCAUAACCAAACUCUUUUUGAAAAUCUUGCAUAAUAUCAGCUGGCUUAUACGUAGAUGAAGCACCAUCAAACUUGUGCCGAAAAUUUUUCCCAACUAACUUGGAUGAAGCUUGACGGUUGUCUUUUUCCUGUGAAUCAAGGGAGCAAGUAUGGACAUUGUAAUACUUUCUAAUUUCAAACAUGUUGCAACCUUUAAGUCUACUUGCACGAAGGCGCCAUUUGCAGUUGUCAUCCAUACAAACAACAACAAGUAAGUCCUUGUCUGAUUUUGGGGUUUUGAAUUGGAACCUUUUUUUCACAACUAGUGCUUUAAGCUUUUCUUGCAAUGCCUCCUUUGACUCAAACACCUCUUUCACCAUCGACACAUCAGUAUCACCACUAACUUCUGUUGAUAAUAAAUUACUGCUACUAGUAAGUAAAUUUAUUCUGGGCACAUGUCCAUUGUUUGAGGUUCUUGAACUUAUAGGAGCUGGAGUAUUAUCUCCUAAUGCUAAAUCAACAGCUAAUGGUGGCUCAUCCAAACAAUCAACUUCAGUUACAAAUUCAUUAACUUCAGUAAAAUUGUUCGAACUGAGAAUAGGAAAUGAUGGAGGCACGUAGCUGGAGAAAGCAUGACUCUCUUCCCAUGAAAGACGAGGUGAAGGUUGUCUAUCCACCGGAACUGUCGAAAUUGAUCUACGUUCAAAAGUAAUGCAGAGCGGGUUUCUAAACUCCAUUCCACUAGCUACUUCCUCUAAGAAAAAUUCCACAUCAUCAUUGGUUUGAAUUGUAACUGGUGGCAUAGGAUCAGAUGUCUUAAGUUUGAACUUCAUUGUGAUUUCGAAUUCCGAAGUAUCUAUAUCAAUAACUUCAGCUAUCUUGUCCACCAAUUCGGCAUAUGUUGUCGAUCGUGGUAUCAUUAUCCCUUUAGCCUUGGAACCUUUGAACUUAUACUCGUCAUUUUGCUCAAUCCAUUCACCAUUAAAGAGAAUAGGCACACGUACCAAAACCAUUUCUGAUGAUACAAUAAAAACAAUAAUAUCAAAUUUCAUAUACAAGUAAGUACACGACUUACACGACUAUAAUACUUACACGACUUACACGACUAUAUUUCUUACAUGACCUACACGACUUACACGACUAUAUUUCUUACAUGACUUACAUGACUUACACGACUAUAUUACUUACACGACCUACAUGACUAACUAUAUGACGUACACAGUAUCAAGAGAAUGCACGGCGCGAAACAUUUUCGCUAUAAAUAAGUUAUAUUGCUGAAAAAAAUAAUUAAACAACCUACAUUGCAUAUAUUUCUACAUAUAAGAAAAAAUGGUGAAAAUAAAACAUUGUAAUGUGAGGAAAAUUUCUAAAUUUUUCUCAAAAUUAAUAAAUUUAAAACCCAAAAACAUUAACAUACCUUAUUGGGUUGUUUAAUAAGCAAUGCACCUUUAAAGAAAGAGUGGGUGUUAAAGAAAUAAAUACAUAAUUGUAUUUGUGUAAGAAGUUAUGAGAGAUUUUGAGAGAUUCUAAGAGAUUUUGAAAGAAUCGGCAGCAAAAAUGGAGUUGGGUGAAAGAAAUGAGGAAAUGAAUAUGAAGACAAUUUAUUGAAUGAAUUUGAUGCAUUCAUUAAGGGUAUUUCUGACUUUACUCACAUUUGUUAGGGUAUUCAUGAAAACUAAAAAGGGAGGGGGUAUUUCAAUAAUUUUGAAACUAUUAAAGGGUAUUUAAUUAAAAACCCCACAUUAUUAGUACCUAGUUGAUUAGUCAUUUGGUCUUCAAUAAAUGUUAGUUGAUAUAUGCUUGAAAUCAUAUUCUGUUUUAUAUGCCGAAUCAUAUUGUAAGAUGGUGAUAUUAGCAUGUUUCUUUUUCUUUGUGCUGUUUCUCGUUUGAUUACAUUUUCAACAACAAGUCGAUCUGUUGAAGAACAAGUUUGGGUUUGAUGAUGCUUUUAACUAUAAGGAAGAGCCAGACUUGGAUGCAGCUCUCAAUGGGUUGACACGAAUGAAUCCUUUCACCCUUUUUCUCACUUCAUUAUUACAAUGCGCUUUGAAGUUAUCUGUGUUGUUAAGGUUAAGGUUAACCCUGCAGGCUUGUUCGAUGCUGUAUCAACUCCAAAAUCGAACAACAUCUACAGCACCAAGACCCGGUUUCAAUCAGCUCAAAUGAUGAGGUAAAUAACACCAUCAAGCUCAGCUUAGAGACUCAUUAGAUAAGUAAUCCAUUUUCUCAGCUGUUAAUCUCUUGAUGGUGGCUAGUGGAGAAGCAGAGGAAACAAAGGAUGUGCCGGAAUCAAUUAGAACAGUGAGAAGCGUGAGGGGAGUUAUGAUUAUAUUUAGGCUUUUUGAUGAUGCUUUGAACAAAAAGGAAGAGCCAGACUUUGAUGAAGCUCUUGAAAGGUUAGCGAAAAUGAACGCUUUAACCAUGUUUCCAACUUCAUUAUCACAAUAUCUGACAUUGCAUAACUUCAAGUAAAGUUGCUCUUAAAAGGUUAGCAAAAAGCCAAAAAUGAUUGAAGUUAUCUGAGUUGAUCCAGAAAAUGUAAUGGAAAUACUCCCCUGCUUCGUAAAACAGGACAAACAGAGAUCGCUGGUCGCGCAUGGGAACUAAUUGCAUUAAAGUUUCAAACAUUACCAAACAAACUAGGAUGCAUUUGCUUAAGAUUCAUUUUCAAAAGCAAGUUGUAUGUUUAUGUUGCAGCCUAUAAAACCAUGUUUAUGUUGUAUGUUUAUUCAGGAAAUGAAAGAUUCGUCGUGUUAUUUUAUUCCAAGAAUUCGCUGAAACCAUACCUGCUUUCCCAGAUGCUUUCCUGAAGGUAUCGACAUCUAUUUAAAAAAUUCUGGGGGUAAGAUGCUUGAUGCAGUGCUACUCAACAUGAGAAUUCACGGCCGCUGCUGUAUGCUGAAAGAUCUCACCGUACAACCGUGAGAAGCCUGAAGGUGUAUUCAACUUGAUACAACUGGUCGUAGUUGCUAGGGAAGGAUAUAAGGUGUACUCAACUUGAUAUGCUGUAAAAGUGCACUAUGCCAUGUACUUUUAAAGCUUUUUGAAGAUGUUUUGGCCAUGUGUUUGAUUAGAUUGUACUCAGAUAUAAAUCAAAGAUUCAGAACAUGUUUGUUACUGUUUUUCAGAAUCCAGAACAAUAAAUACCUUGAAAUGUUUUUGUUCAAUGAUUUUGCAGAAGACCAGCUUCCUUGUUAAUGAAUCAAGAUGGCUGAAUCCGUCCCUAAGCCAAAUCUGUUUUCACUUUUAGGUUAGAAAUUGUCAUUAAAAAGUGUUUGAUAAAAUAUGCUCCGGGAACGCUAUUCGUCAGAUGGUUACUCCAAGUUUAUGAAAUCAAUGGUAUUUCAUCAUAUUCAUAACACUCUGCUUUAAUAUCUAUUCUAACAGAGAAAUUAUAUACAGAGAAUAGGUUGCGUUAGAACUUUUGCUAGAAAAAAGUGACAAGAAUUCAUCGUUCACUUGUAUCUUAAGUAAGUGUAAAAUUUAAAAUCCCAUCAUGAAAAACUCCUGGGAGAAAAAACUAUAAAAAUUAAAGAAAAAAGAGUGUGGCGUGCAUGUAAAUUAUGUCGAUUCUAUCUAUACGAUAAAUACACUCUCUUUUACAAUGGCACGGAUGCUUCAUUGAGUAAUCAUGAUUGUUGCUGGUAGUGCUUUGUUGAAUCAAUCUGCUAGAUAUUCAGCUUUCUUUCUUUCUUACUUUUUUUUUGUUUUAAUAAAUAGCUUGUGGUUGUGAAAAUAAUUUGAAUUAAACUAUGCUUAACUGCCUAUUUGGUACAACUUCUCUACUAGCCAAAAGAUUUUUUUUUAAUCAUUUAUUUAUACCUCGAGUAGAGUUUUUGGAGAUUAAAUAGGUGAUAUUUUGUCUCUAUUAAAAAGAAAACUCAAAAGGUAGGACUAUUUGAAGUUUGAAUCCACCAAACUACUCAUUAAAAAUUCAUUUGUGAAAAUAAUUUUUAAUUAUUAAAAUACCCCUAAAUUAAAUUACAAUUAUGAACACUAAAAUAUAGUAAACAAUUUUUUUUUUACUCUUUGAAAUUGUCCUUACAUUCGAUAUUAAAUUUUUUUCUUAAACUCUAAAUUAAUUUUUUUUUUCAUUUUUAAGUAAUUUUAAGGCACAUAUAAAGUGAUUCAUAUUGAUUUUAUACUAACAAACUAUUACAGCAGAUUUGGAAAAUGAUUAACUCGUUCUCAUUUUCCUAGUGAAAAUGCAAAUAGCUCAUUUAAACGUUAAGGAAUUGGAGAGUUGCUGCUGGAGAUGAAAGAUGUGAAUUAAACAUCAGAAAAAAAAAUUAUGUUUACUAUCUUACCAGACCAAGCACCGAAAAGCAUGGUAAAGAAAAAUUACAUAAUUCUGACUUAGAAGACGAAAAAAAAUGAAAUACAAUUUGAAUAAGAGAUAGAAGAUAAAGCACGUGAAUGGAGGCAGAAAGCAAGUAAUGAUAACUCUUUCGACAAAACUAAUAUAUAUCAAAAUGCAAUAUCAAAAAUGAAAAUAAAAAUUCAUUACGAAUACAUGUUAAUGAUAUCCCAAGUGUUGAGUAAUAAAAAGUACCAGGCAGGCAUCUCCCCAUUCCAUGCCUGAGAAUGAAUCUCUCCAGCUGAAUGAUACGAGCAGAUUCCUAAUAAUAUAUCCUUUAUGGAACACAUACCAACUAGAAACGAAUACCGACCAGAAGUUCAUACCGACCAGGUACUUGUCACUCAAAGAAAGAGAAUACAAUCUCACGAACGCGCGACAGUUUUGCCACAUUCCAAACCGCUAGGGAGAACACGACGCCCCACGUUUACCCACAUUCAGUUGUUGAAGACCCAUUAAGGCCCUUGAUCACCCAAAUAUGACGGGAAGGAAAAAUAUUCUGAGAAAGUGGGACGAUUGCCUAUAAAAAGCUGGGAAAUCAAUUAAGAAAGGGACAGACAAAAAGAGAGAGGGGGGAAACUCUACCGAAUUGAUACCAGGCAUUACUACAUAAUAGCCUUAAAUACAUUUUACUUUAAGAACAUCACAAUGAGUGUGCGUAACCAUAAAUCAUACAAUUUUCCCGCAAACUUCAUGUACUAACUUAAGCAUCGGAGGGUUUAUUCCGGAAAAACCACCAACGUCUCUGGUUUGUUUAUGUGAAUGUAGAUUUGAAAAGAAGAGAAAGAGUGAUUUGAGUUCAAGGAGCUCGGGCAAUUGCUAAAGUUAGUGGAAAAAAUUAAAUGAGACUCAAAAUCAAUCCAGAGGAAUAAAUGAGAAACCUAAUCCUAAUAAAAUACAUUCACAAAUCUUAAUGCUAAUUAAAAUCACGGAUAAAAAACAUAAUAUGAAUGAAUUACAGGCACAACUAUUUUAUUAAGAAAUUAAUAAAAUCGUGUAUUAAUAUAUUUUGUACAUUUUUUUUCCAUAUAUAACUUUCGGUAAUUUAGUUUUCCACUUAUCAUUUUUACUCCAAAAAAAUAUUGAGAAUAUUAUUUAUGUUUUGGUGUAAAAUAUUUGAACAAUAUACAAAUUUUCAGUUUAAUACAUCUAAACAUUUAUUAAGUUAUAAAUGAAUUUAAUGGGUUUAACUAGUACAAAUACUAUUAUUUUAUAAAUUGGGUUUAAUAAUAGUAUAUUGGGGAUUUAGGUUGAGUAAAUUUUAAAAUUUUAAAAUUAAAGGGUGGGUUUGUUUAGCAAAUGAGUUUUUUUUUUUUUUUUAUUACAUGAGACUAUUGCUCAAAUUACAGUUCAAGUUACAACUCAUAUUACAUGAGAGUAUAAUUGAUAUGUACAAUCAUAUAUUUAUACUGAGCCCUGUUGAUAUUAAUGCUGAUAUGACACCGCUCAGAUUUUUAACCCUCUCAAAUAUUUGAGGGAUGUCAAACUCCCAUCCUGGGAGAAAGACUGUCUUCACUCGAGCUCAAGGGCUCCAAGAAAGAAUAUUUAAAGUAAAACCCCUACAAUGCGACUGCGGAGGCUCGAACCCCUUCCCUCACAUUUGUGAGGGAGGGGCUUAGCCUUAGCCCAAGUGGCUCUUUUAGCAAAUGAGUUAAGGGAAUAGUUUGUUGGGAUUUAAAUAGCCCCACCCAAACUCAAAUGUAAAAUUUUUGAAAAAAGAGACUAUUACGUUUUAAAAAAAAGAAUUAAAAGGUCAAGAAUACCUCUAUUUAAUUUUAUAAUCAUAUUUUAUUUCUACCCUAAUAUAAUAUUAAAAAACUUAACUAAAAAUUUUAUAAUUUUUUAUAAAAAUUACCAUUAACAUCCAAAAAGCUAAAGAUUAAAAAAAAAAAAGGAACUGUAUUUACAAAAGUUAUAUCAAUAAUAAAUUCAGUCCAAAGAAAAAAGUUAUUGUAAACAAGUACUCAUAUUUAUCUCUACUUUAACAAUAAUCUUCGAAUCCGUUUUACAAUGGAUUUUAACCAAUGGGCUUAUGAGUCCUUUUUUGGAAAGCAUGAAAGCGAUGGCCCAAUCUCUAAACUUCAUUUUCUUUAGCCAGAAAGCCUAAAACAAGACCAGCCCAUAGAUAUAUAACUACCGGAAAAAAUUAAAAAGAAAAAAAAGAGUAAAAUUGUGUAAGAGCUUUUAGAAUUACAAUUUUAGGAUCACGUGUGUAAAUGGAACUCCAAGAUUGAUCAAGAAUUAACAAGGCAAGAUGAAGGGAUGAUCUUGUAGCAAAGAAUGAAGAAAUUGAAUCAAGAAAGUACUCUAGUGCUUUAGUGCUUUACAGUUAAGGGAUAUAGGGUGCGUUUGGGAUUGAGGUUGGGCAGCUGUAGCUUAAAAGCUACAGCACUAAAGUGUUUGGUAAACACUAGCUGCUGUAACUUUUAAGCUAUGUUGAUAUAAUUUUUCACUUGUAUAAUAUAAAAUUUAUUAUAUCUUUAAUAAUUUUGAUAAAAUUAUUAUUUACAAUUUAUAUUUAUUAUAUAUUAUUAACUUUUAUUUCAUAAUUACAACUUCUUUUUUACAGCAGCUGUAGCUUAAAAACUACAGCACCUCAAUCCCAAACACAACCAUAGUGUGAAUUCAUUACAAAGCAUUCGCAAAGAAAUUGUUUUUAAAUGAAACUCCUCGUCUUGACCAGAUUAUUUAUUAUUAUUCAAAAAAAAAAUGUUCAAAACUUAGCCAAAGUGAUAAACUCGUAAUUAUUCUACAAAGGGAACAAUUUUGAACGGUCGGAAAUUCCAUGCUUAUGAUUUUCUCUGCACUAUUUCAAUAAAAUUAUUACCCAGUGAAGACUUUAGAGACAAGUGCCCCCAUGAGAUCAAGCAAAUAUGCCCCCACAAAGAUCACAUAAUUAUUUCUUGUUCUUUUUCUUUUUGACAAUUUUAUCUGUGGUUUCAACUUUUACGCUUUAUUGUCAUUUCUCGUUGAGGGCUCCGCUGCACCCAUUACAACUUACCCCUAUAUUGUCUUUUACUGACUAAACCGUUAGAUUUGACGGAUAGCACGUUCAAUGCUGAAUUUUAAUUAUAUCAUCAAAUUUCGUUUAGCUCCUUAAACUCCAUUUUAUUUUUUAUUUCUUUAUAAAAUAUUCAAAGCUUCAUCAAGCUCCCGAUGGACCAUCAUGGCUAGGGGUGCAUUAGAGCCGAACUGAAAUAUGUUAGUUUAGUUUAGUUUGGUCAGUUUAAAUCGAAUGGUUUAGAAAAUAUAAAAUGAUCAAUUUUAAUUUUGAAUUGAACCGAACCAAAAAUUAAUUGAUUUGCUGUUAGUAUUUUUGCAUAAACAUAAAUGAUUAGUGAUUAUAAUUGAAUUGGACUAAAAAAAAUCAAACAAAAGUGAAAAAUAUAAAAUCUUAGACAAUAUAAAAGAAAAAAUAUUAAAUAUAUAAACCAAAACGAACUGAAUUAUUUUGACUCAGUUUUGGUUCAUAAUUUUUUAAACCAAACUGAUUUAUUCCCACCCCCUAAUCGUGGCCCUCUAUCUUUAGUCAUUCACCCUUGAGUUUGAUACCAAUUGUUGGGUUUCAAAUGAUUAUACACUCAAAUGGAACCCCUCAUAACCAAAAACUAACAGAAACAAUAAGAACACAAUGUUAAAAUCUUAAAUCAAUCGCAAAAAAGCACCCAAAACAGAUCGAUUAGGAAUAGUUAACAACAAAAGAUUUAAUGGUUCAAAAUCAUAAUGUGACCUACUUCCAUCCAAGAAUCAUACUAAUUGCUUUACUUGUUGUCAAAUACGAGAUCAUAAGAUUGUUUAUCACUCUACAGAGAAAAAAAAUUUAGAAGAAAUACUCCCCAAUUUUUCUCUUAAUAGUUAUGAAUCAACACCCCUGAUUUACUUUUCCUUAUUUCCUAUGAUCGGUUGCUGCUACUUAAUCCUUACCAAGCUCCAACAUAGUCCAAACACUUUUCAUGGUACAUGCACAGUGCACCUUCAGAAACUUUACAGCUCUUCUUAAAACCUCAGGCCUAUAGAGUGCAAUUUCGCACCUAUAUGCUUAGUCCUCUCAGUUCUCGUGAUGUUUUUGAUUUAUUUCUCGGACGAGUAGCACUUUUAGCUGCCAUAAUACAAUGUAAUUGACUUCUGAGCAUGACUUAAUUUUGAGAUCAUUACUUUUAGUUAAAUGAUCUCCUCCAGAGCUUCUACCUAUGUAGUGUUUUUAGACCUCUAUAGUUGAUAAAGCAUGUUCAAGGUGAAGGCUUGUUUUCCAAUCUAUAGUCCAAUUAUAGACUGGAACUGGUCAGGCUUAAUGCACCUUCAAAAGCUUCACAACUUAUAUUGAAACCUUAAGCCUUGUAGAAUGCUACAAAUUUUAAAUCCAUAUACUUAGUGCUCUUAUGAUUUGUUUGAUUUUUACUUAGAUGAAGAGCAUUUUAGCUAUAGAAUACAGAAACUAAUUCAAAGCCUGCCUUAGCUAUGAGAUCAUUCAUUCUAGCCAAAUGCCCCUUUAGAGAUUCUGCUAUUGUUGCGUAUUAAGCCUCUAUAUCAAAGCAAUUACAUGUCGAAGGCUUGCUUUGCAGUUAACAGCGCAAUUACAAUUAUAUAGAUUAAAGGUGUAAAUCCAUAAAACUACCAGACUUCAAUCUUUAGACUCCAUAGAUCAAACCAUAACUUAGUGUGCCUUUCAAUCUCAGGUAACUGUUUUCCACGUCUUGCCAUGUACUUGCUGCUAACACUAACAAUUUGAGAAAUGUUAGGCAUCGUAAGCAGCCGACAACACUCUUCUUCAUUUCUUCAUUGUCAAUUUCUUUCUUGGAACAUUGCUCCAUUGAGAGUCUGCUAUCAUUGCUCCAAUUAUUAUUAUUUUUGUUUUUGUUUUUUAAAAAAAUAACCGUGCAAUAAGAGUAUAAGACUAAGCAACGGUCCUUUUUUUUUUACCCAUUCUUGAACAUGAAGUAUUUGAGUAUGUAAUAAAAAUUGUUUAUCGAUAAUUAAAAGUUAAUAGUGGGUGGCUUUAGGUUUUGUUUACAAAAUUGACAACAAAUUAGAUUUUUCAAAUUCAUAGGUAAGAAACUUUUCAUUUAUUCAUAGAUUUUCCGGUUUAAACUUUAAAGGAAACUUAAAAGAAAAAGAUGUAUCAUUAGGUUUGUAAUUAAAAAAAUUUAAUAUUGUAUGAUCUGUUCGAUAUGCAUAAUUUAAAUAAACAUUAAUAUAGAUGUUAUAUAUCCUAAAACUUAAUUGACUUAAUUCUUAUGGUGCAAGGAAGAGGUUUCCAAGUUUAAAUCUAAAGUCUUGUAUUUAAUUUGGGGUCGGGAAAGCACUGGGAAAUAAAUGUAACAAAGGAAAAAAAAAAAAGAAUGACAGUCUGAGUGGAGCCAACGCGGUUUUAAAAAAAGUGAAAAAAAGGGUUUAAAAAAAAAAACGCGGUUUGCUUGCUUGUGGAAAUAGAAGUCUCAUGUUUCUUUGAAAGGUAAGCAAGUGUGAAUGUUUCUAUCUAGAGCUGGAAAAUGCAUUUCCGUGCAACUUACUUGAUGAAUGAAGUUUUCAUCGCUGACCCUGAUGUUUCCCUGAGCUGCAUUCAUUGCAGCUGAUGUAUUUCAUUUUGUUUUCGAAGGAGUGACACAAAAUCUCCUUCGUUAAGGUGAGAAUUUAGAGUGGCUUUAACUGUUAACAAAUAGCCUAAUAUAAGACUUAAUCUACUUCCUGCCCUGUUGUAUGCUUAUGAAAUUUGAUAGAGUUAUGAGUUUGCAGAAGCUACUGUAUUAUAUGUUGCUUGAGGCUGUAAAAAUGAGGCAGAUCAAACACACAUUUAAAUUUCAAUGACAAUUUACUGGAAGUAAAUUUCCUAUGACCCUACAUGUGACUAAUUGAUGAGAAGUUGACAAAUGACAAAAGAAAGUGUAUGAGCUUUGCAGGUUGGCAUGCCGAUACUGACUGUGUGGCACCAUCCGCCAUUUGGAAGUGAAUAUCAUUAUUCUUUAAUCAACAUGGUGGAGUCCACUGGGACCACACCACAUGGUCAGUCUUAUCUCUAUUCCUCAAUUUUCAGUAUUCCAUACAUGAAAACAACUUCAGUUUUGUUAUCAAUUAUAAUUUCAUUGUUGGUGACGAUUCUGAUUCCUUUCUUUCUGACAAAACGGAACCAUGGUUGCUGUGGGAGAGAUCUUACUCAACGCCUUCUUUCAGGUGUUGUUUGACAGGUUGGCUUCCCGUGAUUUGCUCAGCUUUGUCCGUCAACUUGGAGGCGGGGUCGAUUCCGAGCUCAAGAAGUGGGAAAGAAAGCUGAAGAUGAUUCAGGCGGUGCUCAACGAUGCAGAGGAGAAGCAACUGACUGACGAGGCUGUGAAGACGUGGCUGGACGAUCUCCAAGACUUGGCUUAUGACGCUGAGGACAUUCUUGAUGAGUUUGCUACUCAAGCUUUGGAAAGCAAGUUGAUGGCGCAAAAUCAGGAUAGCUCUGGCCAGGUUCUCAGUUUCAUCCCGGCUAGUAUCCGAAUGCUGUUAGGUUCAAUUAUAGCAUGAGGUCCAAGAUUAACGAUAUUACUAGCCGGUUGGAGCAACUCUGCAAAGAAAGAAUCGAACUUGGACUGCAACGGAUUCCUGAAGGGGCAUCAUCAACUGCUGCUGCUGCACACCAGAGGCCACCCAGUUCAAGCGUCCCACCAGAACGUGAAGUUUUUGGUAGAGAAGAAGAUAAGGCCAAAAUUCUUGAUAUGGUAUUGGCCGAUAGCCCAAGUGAUCAUGCCAACUUUGCUGUAAUACCCAUUGUUGGCAUGGGCGGGAUAGGAAAAACAACUCUCGCUCGGGAGGUCUACAAUGACAAGGCCGUUGAACAUUCCAAGUUUGAUGUAAAAGCAUGGGUUUGUGUAUCUGAUGUCUUUGACAUUUUGGGCAUCUCAAAGGCACUUCUCGAGUCAAUCUGCUGCGCAGCUAGUGAUCUCAAGACUUUAAAUGAAGUGCAGGUUCAACUGAAAAAAGCAGUGGACGGAAAAAGAUUCUUGCUGGUCUUAGAUGAUGUUUGGAACGAGGACUACAGCUUGUGGGUAGACUUAAAAGCUCCAUUCUUGGCUGCUGCACCAAAUAGUAAGAUGAUUAUCACCACACGCAAUUCACAUGUUGCAUCUACAAUGGGACCCAUUGACCAUUAUAACCUCAAGCAUCUGUUAGACGAUGAUUGCUGGUCUAUUUUCAAAACGCAUGCAUUGGAGGGUAGAGAUCAUAAUGCACUUGAAAUCUCAGAAUCAUUUCGCAAGAAAGUUGUUGCCAAAUGUGGAGGCUUGCCCCUUGCUGCAAAAACACUCGGAGGCCUUUUGCGUACGACGAGGCAUGAUGCGUGGGAUGAUAUAUUAGAGAGCAAAAUAUGGGAUUUACCUCAACAAAGUGGGGUUCUCCCAGUAUUAAGAUUGAGUUACCAUCAUCUUCCUUCUCAUUUGAAAAGAUGUUUCGCUUACUGUGCAAUCUUUCCAAAAGAUUAUGAAUUCAAUGAGAAGGAGGUGACUUUUUUAUGGAUGGCUGGAGGAAUUAUUCGACAGUCAAGAAGCAAAGAGCGGCUAGAAGAUUGGGGCAGCAAGUGCUUCUAUGAUCUGGUGUCAAGGUCAAUUUUUCAGCAAACAGCAAUCUCUGGUAGUUCUAAAUUUGUAAUGCACGACCUUAUUCAUGAUCUUGCUGAAUUCGUCUCUGGAGAAACCAUAUUCAGGUUAGAGGAGUCCACCAACUUGUCGUCAAGCAGAUUUGAAAGAGUUCGCCAUUCUUCCUAUGCCGGCGGUUGGUAUGAUGGUAAAAAUAAGUUUGAGGUUUUCUAUGAAAUUGAACAUCUACGAACAUUCUUGCCAUUACGCUUACGCAUGCGAGGUACUUUUUUCAUAACUAGAACGGUUCUAUCUGAUUUGCUGCCAAAGUUCAAAAAAUUGAGGAUGCUAUCUUUAGAAGGAUACUGUAUUGGUGAGUUACCAAUUCCAUUUGAAGAUCUCAGACUUUUAAGGUUCCUCAACCUCGCUGACACUGACAUAAGAAGUUUACCUGAGUCAACAUGCAAAUUGCUGAACUUGGAAAUUCUGAUAUUAAGAAAGUGUUCCCGCUUGAUAAAGCUUCCCCAGAAAAUGAGGAAUUUGAUCAAUUUACGUCAUCUGGAUAUAAGAGGUGCACAGCAGCUGAAGGAGAUGCCAUUUGGAAUGAAAGAGUUGAAGAAGCUUCAAACAUUGUCCAAUUUUAUUGUGGGCAAGGGUGAAACUGCAUCCGGUGUGGAAGAUUUAAAAUGUUUAAGCUUUCUUUGUGAUGAACUUUGCAUUGCUGGAUUAGAGAAUGUGAAUAAUCCACAGAAUGCAAGAGAAGCCGCAUUAUGCGAGAAGCACAAUCUUGAAGCAUUGACUCUAGAAUGGGGGUCUCAAUUUGACAAUUCUCGAGAUGUAGCAAUAGAAGAGCACGUGCUUGACAUUCUACAGCCUCAUAAAUGUAUAAAAAAGGUGGCAAUCAGGAGCUAUGGUGGUGCAAGAUUUCCACUUUGGAUAGGAGAUCCGUUGUUCUCCAAGAUAGAAUUCCUUGAAUUGGAGAACUGUGACAAUUGUGUAUCUUUGCCAUCGCUUGGCCGUUUGAGUUCACUUAAACACCUUGCUGUUAAAGGGCUGAAGAAACUAAAAAGCAUAGAGCCUGAGGUUUAUGGGGAGGGUUUCUCAACGCCUUUUCCAUCAUUGGAGAUUCUAAGUUUCGAGAAUUUGACAGAAUGGGAGCAUUGGGACACGGAUAUCAAAGGAAAUGCACUUGUUGAAAUAUUUCCUCGUCUCCAUAAACUUUCCAUUGUGAAAUGUCCCAAACUCUCUGGAGAACUGCCUGAGCUCCUGCCCUCCUUGGAGACACUUGUUGUUAGUAAAUGUGAAAAGUUGGUAGUUCCAAUGUCUUGCUAUCCGAUGCUCUGCAGAUUAAAAGUUGAUGAGUGCAAAGAACUGGUCUGCCGGACUCCAAUUGAUUUUAAGUUGAUAAAGUCUGUGACUAUUUCAAAUUGUUCACUAGACAUGUAUGGAUGCAAGGGGAUGCUAUACAAUGGUCCAGCUGGCUCUUCACUGCCGAAAUCCAUGACUAUUACAAAUGUUUUGGCGUUUGGAAAAUUAUUGAAGCCUGGAUUUCAGAUAUUAGAAACUUUGGUAAUUGACAAUUCUGAACAGCUCAAGUCAUGGAGGCAGCGUGGGGAUUUUCGACAAGAAUAUUUGGGCGUUCGCGUAAGGCGUCACAAACCAUCACAAGGGCUAGAUAUGCUCGCCUCCCCAGAAGAGGUAACAAUUGAAGAAAGUUGUGUGAGUUUUGUUUUAUUUCCAGAGAUCAAUUUCUUUCCCAGAAAUCUGCGCUCUCUUCUAAUUUGCAACAGCACAGCUUUAAAAUCCUUACCCGAUGAAAUGAUGGACAAUUCACAACUCGAAAGGUUGUAUAUCAGAGAUUGCGAUUCUCUAACAUUCAUCACAAGACGCAAGCUACCUUCAUCUCUAAAAAGUAUAGAGAUUGAGAAUUGUGAGAAACUGCAACAUUUGUUCGAUGAUAAAGAGGAUGCUUCUUCUUCUUCUCCUCCUUCAUCCUCGUCCUCCCCAGUGAUGCUGAAACACCUGAGUAUAAAUAAUUGCCCAGUGCUCACCAGUUUAUCAACAGGAAUCCAAUUACUUGAGGCGCUUGAAAGCCUCGAGAUACGGGAUUGUCCAAAGCUGGAGUCAUUACCAGAUGGCCUUCACAAUCUUAACUGUUUACAGGAGAUUACUCUAAACAGUUGUCCAAGUCUUGUUUCCUUCCCAGAAAGAGGACUUCCCAACACGAUUUCAAAUCUUGUAUCGUUUCCAGAAGAAGGUUUUCCUACCAAUCUAACAUCACUUACAAUUGGAUAUUUCAAAAUGUAUAAGACACUCGUCCAGUGGGGGUUGCACAGGCUUACCUCUCUUAAACGCCUCUGCAUCAUUGGAUGUGAUGAUGAAGCAGAGUGUUUUCCAGACGAGGAGAUAGGAAUGACGCUGCCCACCUCUCUCACUCAUCUGACACUUUCGGAAUUCAAAAAAUUGAUAUCUCUGUCUUCGACGGGUAUUCAGAGCCUCAACUCUCUUCAAUCUUUGUCGAUCGGGAAUUGCCCGAAUCUCACAUCAUUUCCAGAGGUGGGCCUUCCAUCCUCACUUUUGGAAUUACACAUUUACAGUUGUCCAAAGCUUAAAAAAGCGUGCAAAAGAGAUCAAGGAAAAGACUGGCCCAAAAUUGCUCACAUCCCUUUCGUUGAGAUAGACGGUAAAUUCAUAUACGAUCCCGAAUCAGAGGAGUAGAUUCUAUUACACAGGUCAGUUGAUUUAUAUUAUCCGCUAUAACAAGCUCCUCCUUUUUUAUUUUUUUUAAAUAAUAAUUUUGCAGUCAGUCACGUGAUUCCGUUUUCACAAGUCAGAUUGUAUGUUGAGGCUAUUUGCCUUUUAAUCGCAGAUUAAAUUAUAACACUUAUCUUAAAAUUUAAUACCAUAGACAGAUAGACGAUUUUUUAAUCCAAAGUUUUUUUUAUUCACUUCAGUUAGCAUUUUUUUUUCCCCCAAAUCAUGCAAGCCGAGAGUUUCAAUCAAGAAUUGGAGGAUGUGAAUGGGAUUUUUGUGAAAGAGUAACAUAAUGGAUGACCGAACAUUUCAUCUGUGAUCUCAAAGUCAACAGAAUUUUAUUCACUCAUUGACUUUUCAACUGCCGUGGUUUUUAUGGGUGAAAGAUAAGGGCAAUUACAAAAAAUUUGCAAAAUUUGUCAAUUUCUUAGAUGGUAGAUAUAUCGACAUUUUAGAUUUCAGAUAUUUGUCACCAAUUUGCAAAAUUGAAAUUUCUGUCUUCAAUGGGUUUUCAAAGCCUCGCCUCUCUUCGAUUUUUGUGGAUUGGGAAUUGCACAAAUCUCACAUCAUUUCCCGAGGUCGAGGAAAAGAGCGGCCCAAACUUGCUCGCAUCCCUUGGGUUAUGAUAGAUGGAAAAUUCAUGUACGAUCCAGUCAGAGGUGUUGAUUCUCUUAUUAAGGUCAGCUGAUUUCUAUUAUCCACUCUGACAAUCUCCUAUUAGUGUUUUUCCUUUUUUUUUUUUCAAAAUUUUGCAGUUCUGUAUAAUUGAAAAUGCCACUCACUUGUUUCCUUUUUCACAGGUCAGAUAGUAUGUUGAGGCUAUUUGAUUUCUAUCGGUGUUUGUUAAGGUAAUUAGUGCUCCCUCAUAGGUAUGACUAGAUUUUUUUCACUUCCGUAAAUAUUGCAUUUUAGACUGGCAAAUUUAGCAGUAAUUUUAAUACAAUUUUGUUGGUGCCUUGUGUGCCAGAAGCUAGAAAAAUGUGUAGUUUUCAGAUAAGGAGUCUUGUUAGUUCUCUAGUAAGAAUCCAAUAAUUUGCUUUUGCACGUCCAUCUAAUUUGUGGAUCCUUGCAUCAGAAUUUGAUCAAUCCAAAGGAAUUGCUUUUAGACAGAAGAAGAAUAGCAGCACCUAGCCUAUGUCAUAGUGUAUGGACCCGCAAACCUGAAACUAUUAGAUUGAGGUAAAAAAAUCAUUGACCCUCACAUGUUAACUUCUUCUAGUUACUUUUGUUGGGAAAAAAAAACAUUUAAGGAAUUUGCAAUUUGUUGUUAGUUAUGGUAUCUGAUGUUCUUUUCUGUUUUAGCGUUUGUAGAAUCUACGGUAUUAUGUGUUGGCAGUUGCCGUAUCUGAGGUAACUUGCCUUUAUUUGUUUGCUUCUGACUUAAGGACACCAACAUUUGCCAGAGAUUUAGAGAAGCAUCUCAAAACACUUAGCAAACUUGACAAACUUCAAGAUGCACUUGCCCCCACGCCUUAUUCUCCACAACGCAAAACUUGUGAGUACACUUAUGCCUGCAAUUAUUGUGAAGUGUUUGCAAUUUCGAUGCAGAGAAAUGGUUUCUUGAUGCAAAGUAUUAAACUGUUAAGAUUUAUCCUGCAGGCUUGUUAGAUGUUGUAUACUCGAAAAGCCAACAACAUCAAGAACUACAACUCCAAGACCAACUUUGCAUUAAUUCAGUCAGCUGUAAAAAUGAUGCAAAUGACACUAUAUCAAGCUGGACUUAGAGACUAGUCAGAUCAAUCAUCCAUUUCAUCAACGGUUAAUGUCAUGAUGGUGGCUAUCAGAGGAAACAAAAGAUGUGUCAGAAUCUAUACGAACAUUGAGAAGCAUGAGAGGAGCUUUGAUUUUGAGUAGGGUCAAUGAACUCAUGUUGGUAAGUGGUGAUUAAAGAAAUUUGUAAGCUUAGUAGAGUUUCAGUAUUUUCUGUUUGGAGUAUAGUUGAUAAGUUGACUCUGUUUAAGAAGCCCGAUUAUAGUAGCUGACUGUAUUAACCUUUUUUUUUUUGGUCUGCUGUUGUUUUUGGUUUCGAUUAUUUUUUCAACAUUGGGUUGAUCUGUUGAAGAACAAGCUUGGGUUUGAUUAUGUUUUAACUAUAAGGAAGAGCCAGACUUGGUUGCAGGCGUUAAGCUUUUAAUGGGUAAGAACAAAUGAAUGCUUUAACCAUGUUUCUCACUUAUUAAAAUGCAUGGAUUGAAGGCAUCUGGGUUGAUCCUGACAAUGUGAUGGAAAUACUUCUCUGUUUUCAUGUAACAGGACAAAUAGAGAUCUCUGAUCAUGCCUGAAUUUUUGUUGCAUUGAAAUUUCUACCAUUACCAAACAUAGAAUGAACUGGGGAUACAUUAGCUUAAGACUCAAUUUUGAGAAGGAAGUUUGUACUUGCAGCCUAUAAAAUCAUGUCCGUGUCGUACGUUUCUUUGGGAAAUGAAAGAUUCUGUGUGUUCUUUUAUUUCAAGUUCACUGAAAUCACAUUUGUUUUCUCCGAUGCUUUCCAGAAGGUAACAACAUCAAUUUCAAAAAUGCUGGGGCAAGAUGCAUCAUGCAGUGCGACUCAACUUGAGAAUUCCUGGCCACAUUACCCGUAUGUCGAAUGAUCGCACAGUUCAACCUUGAGAAGCUUGUAAUGAGUACACAACUGGGUGCAAGUAGUUUUGAAAUGAAUUUGCCUCAAAUGAUUUCUUGCUCGCAUCCCUUGGGUUAUGAUAGAUGGAAAAUUCAUAUACGAUCCAGAGUCAGAGGUGUUGAUUCUCUUAUUAAGGUCAGCUGAUUUCUAUUAUCCACUCUGACAAACUCCAAGACCGGGUUUUUUUUUUUUUUUAAUUUUGCCGUUCUGUAUAAUUGAAAUGCCACUCACUUGUUUCCUUCUUCACAGGUCCGAUAGUAUGUUGAGGCUAUUUGCUUUUUAUCGGUGUUUGUCAAGGUAAUUAGUGCUGCCUCAUAGGUUGAUUACUCACAGAUGAAAUCAUAACUUUUAUCUUAAAAUUUAAUAGCAUACACAGAUAGAUGAUUUUUAGUCCAAAGUUUUUUUAUUCACUUCAAUCAAAAUUUUAGAUUGCAGAUUUUUGUCAAGUAUUUCAUUACAAUUUUUUCAUUUUUUAUUUUAAACCAGAAUAUGAGUAUAACAUUUUGGAGCGUGCAUACUCUGAUGCAUGCAAUUAACUGUUUUUAAUCAUUGGAUUUUGAAAUUAAUAAUGGUAAGAUGUGUACUUAUUCUGUCUUCCAACAACCUUGGCCUCUUUCUUCGGUCGCAUAUCUAAUGAAUAUUUCUCUGUUUAGUUAAGGAUGAAUGCUUGGAGUGGGGUACUUGGUAACAUUUCUGCCUCAGAUGAAUCCUUGAAGAAAUGCCCGCAGUUCCUGAGACCAAAUACAGGUCUGAUUCAAAACAGCACCUUUCUCAGAAAAUAUGAUCCAAGGCAAAGUCAUGUUCUGAUAAUGUUUCCUUAAGUACAAAGUUGCAAGGAAACUUGAUUCAUUAACUACAGUUUUUUAUUUUUAGGACCUUGUAUCUGAAAGGUUCAGUGUUUUUUUUUUUUUCAAAUUUAUUGUUCAGAUCUCAGAGGAGUAUAUGGUUUAGAUUACAAAACACCCAUGAUUAAUUUCAUUUUUUUUUUAAUUUCAGGGAGAAGAAGUGGUCAGUUUCAAUCCGGAAUUGGAAUAUGGCAAUUUGGUUCAAGCACACACACCUGGUCACUUGGUCAGUGAACCUGAACUUUACGCAGUUUUUUCAACUCAGUGAUUUUUGGAACGCAUAGUGGUGUAAGGAAAUCAAAAGAAAUUUAUGCAUAGUCAAAUUCUGAUAUUUGCUAUAUAUUAUACAUUCUAAAGUUUCUCCAGUUUGUUCUCAGAUUACCAUCAUUUUUUGCCUUCACCAAAAAAAAAAAAUUGAGUGGCUUUCCAGUGGAUAUUUAAUCGGAGGUAUGACUGGAUUUUUUUCACUUCUGUAAAUCUUGCAUUUUAAACUGGCAAAUUUAACUUUAAUUUUAAUACGACUUUGUUGGUGCCUUGUGCCCCAGAAACUAGAAAGAUGUGUAGUUUUCAGAUAAAGGGGCUUGUAAAUUCUCUAGUAAGAAUCCAAUAAUUUGCUUUUGCACGUUCAUUUUAUUUGUGGAUCCUUGCAUCUGAAUUUAAUCAAUCCAAAAGGAAUUGCUUUUAGACAGAAGAAGAAUAGCAGUACCUAGCCUAUGACAUAGUAUAUGGACCUGCAAACCUGAAACUAUUAGUUUGAGGUAAAAAAUUCAUGACCCUCACAUGUUAACUUUCAUGAAAAACACAUUUAAGAAAUUUGCAAUUUUUUGUUAGUUUCGUAUCCGAUGUUGUUUUCUGUUUUAGCAUUUGUAGAAUCUACUGUAUUAUAUUUUGGCAGUUGCAGUAUCUGAGGUAUGUUUUGCAUUUAACUUGCUUUAUUUGUUUUGCUUGUGACUUAAGAACACCAAUAUUUGCCAGAGAUUUAGAGAAGCAUAUCAAGCUGCUUGGCAAACUUGACAAACUUCAAGAUCCUCCAUUCUUCACAACGCAAAACUUGUAAGUACACCUAUGCCCGCAGUUAUUGUGAAAUGCUUGCAAUUUUGAUGCGCUGAAAUGGUUUGUUGAUGCAAAGGUUUAAACUUUUAAGAUUUACCCUGCAGGGUAGUUGGAUGCUGUAUACUCGAAAAGCGACCAACAUCAAGAACUAUGACUCCAAGACCGGGUUUGCUUUAAUUCAAUCAGCUGAAAUCAUGAUGCAAACGACACUAUCAGCUGGACUUAGAGACCGGUCAGAUCAAUCAUCCAUUUUAUCAACAGUUAAUGUCAUGAUGGUGGCUAUUAGAGGAAACAAAGGAUGUGUCGGAAUCAAUGUGAACAGUGAGAAGAAUGAGAGGAGCUUUGAUUAUACGUAGGCUCAAUGAACUCAUGCUGGUAAGUGGUAAUUAAAGAAAUUUGUGCGCUUAGUAGCAUUUCAAUAUUUUCUGUUUGGGAUAUAGUUGAUGAGUUGAUACUCUGAUUAAGAAGCCUGAUUAUAGUAGCUGACUUUUUUUUUGUGGUUUGCUGUUGAUUUUUCUUUUGAUUUUUUCAACAUUAGGUUGAUCUGUUGAAGAACAAGCUUGGGUUGAUUAUGCUUUAACUACAAGGAAGAGCCAGACUUGGAUGCAGGCGUUCAGCUUUUAAUGGGUAAGAACAAAUGUAUGCUUUAAACAUGUUUCUCACUUAUUACAAUGCACGCAUUGAAGGCAUCUGAGCUGAUCCUGAAAAAGUGAUGGAAAUACUUCUCUGUUUACAUAAAACAGGACAAGAGAUCUCUGAUCAUGCCUGAGAAUUAGUUGCAUUGAAAUUUCUACCAUUGCCAAAAAUAGAAUAAACUAGGAAUACAUUAGCUUAAGACUCAAGUUUGAGAAGGCAGUUUGUACAUGCAGCCUAAAAAAUCAUGUCUGUGUUGUAUACUUGUAUGUUUCUUUGGGAAAUGAAAGAUUCUGUGUGUUCUAUUAUUUCAAGUUUGCUGAAAUCACAUUUGUUUUCUUAGAUGCUUUUGAGAAGGUAACAACAUCAAUUUCAAAAAUGCUGGGGUAACAUGCAUCACGCAGUGCUACUCAACAUGAGAAUUCCGGCCGCAUUACCUGUAUGUUGAGUGAUCGCACAGUACAGCCUUUAGAAGCUUGUAAGGAGUAGACAACUAGAUGUGAGUAGUUUCAAUAUGGAUUCGCAUCAAAUGAUCUCUUGCCAGUGAUUACUAUAACCUCUAUCCCAAAAUUCUUGGAACUGGUCAUACCAAUAAUGAAGUGUUGUGUAUGUUGAAGACAUUGCGAAAGCUCCGUCAGCCUUUGUAUUGGAAAACAGUUGGUUGUAGUUGCUUCUGAAUGAUAUUAUUAAUAGAUACUGUAAAAAUGAACUGUGCCACUCAUUUUCAGAGCCCUGUUAAGAUGUGUUGGUAAUGUGUUUGAAGGUUGUUUGAUUUAUGUUGUAUUCAGCUAUAAAUCAAAGAUUCAGAACAUGGUUAUGUUACUGGUUUCCAAAUCAAAAAAUUGCCUUGUGAUGUUAGUGUUCAUUGUUUUCACAGGAGAUCAGGUUCCCUGUUGAUGAAUCAUUAAGGCAAACGCAUCCAUGUCUUAAGUUCAAAUGUGUCUCUUCUAUUUUCUAUUACUGACUCCUUUAUUUUGAUUUCUUCAUUGUAAUGGAAUUGGUUUUUAUUCCAAAUUAGUCUUAAGUUCUGUUAGCAUUUGAAGAUAGAACUAGAACUAAAUGAUUGACUGGAUUAAAUUCCGAUAAAGAAUUAAGUUAUAUAUUUAGAGAUAUUAUGUUUUUUUUUUUUU